rnacentral:lncRNA from 1 species
CGUCGAUCGCGCGCGCCCGUUUCGCUCGUCGUCCGCGGUUCCGUACGCGUAUUUCGUCGUUCGUCGCCGUCGUCGCCGCCUUCGUGUUUCUCGUCUUGUGCGUCUCUGUUCGAAUAUAAUCGUAAAAAAAAAAAAAUAAUCAAGUUUAUCAAGUGCGAUAAAUUUCACCUCGGGUCGUCCGCGAGAGUUGUAGUGAGUUGCGAGUGAGUGGUUUUUUUUUUCUCUCUUUCGCGCCGUCCGCGAGAUUGAAUACUGUCACGAUGACCGGACCGCAGCCGCCGCCGUCGACGUGUUUCGCCGGACUCUGAUCGAAAACUGUCCCGUCGGCCGGGUACGCCAGCUGUAAAAAUCCGGUUCGUAUUUCGUGAUUAACCCUUCCGACCUAACCGUCCGUUAUAUGACCGCUCCGUGACGGCGAAAAAAUACCGAUUUCCUCGGAUUUACCGGGCGGGGUUGUCGUCGUUUCUGGAGAGAACGAAAAAAAUUUAAAUUAAUUUUUCAAAAGGUACAAAAAAAAAAAAAUCGAAUCACUCGCACAAUUGUUUUCGCGAAACUUUCGCUCGGGAGUCUACGCGCGUUACUAUAGUAUAGGUACGGAACGCCUCGCGUAGAAUAAUUGACGGUUUCCGAUCGGGAGGGGGGGGUUUUUUUUUCCCGUCCCCGAGUCGAAAAAAGCUCAGACGAUGUCGCGUGUACCGGACGUCGAUUUUCGAAAAUGAAAUUAUUUCACACACCGAUCGAUAAACGAUUAACGGCAGAACACAACUUUACGAAUACGGGUUCGAGUGUACGAAAAAUAUGAAAACCGCACACGCUCGCUCGCUGUGAAAACUUUGCGCGCAUAAAAAAAACAUGAAAAGUAUAACGUUCCGAUACCCAAUAUAACGUACAAGCGAUCGUGUUUUUUUUUUUUUUUUUUUUUUUUUUCCGUAAUCGUUUUAAAAUAUCUACAUCGAAACGACAAGAGAUGAUUUCCACGACAGUGCUAUAGGUGAACAUUAACGGUUAACGAGGCGAAAGUGUAAUUUUAAUAACCGGCGGCUAUUUUCGUUAAAGGUAAAAAAAAAAAAAAAAAAACAACACAAUUUUCUUCAUUACCUACACAAUGAAACUAAGCACGUCCGGACCUCAUUAAGACCGCGGGACCGACGCGUCGCUUCACAAUUUAUUCAUUUACUGAACCGCGUUGUUAAAAUCGUUUUUAAACGUUUCGCGCAUUAUUUCCAAUCGACUGCAUAAAAUUGAACACGAUUUAUUAUCAUCGGUUAGACGAUCCAAUUGUCUUUGCCGGCCAACUCGUUUCUCAUUUGUCCGAAUUAGAUCAAAAGACGAUAGGCCCGUGGCCGCAGAUAAAACACGUCGCUCGGCGACCAGCGAGUGUACUUGUAUUACCGAAAUUCGGCCUUUUUAUUACGAAACGUUUUGCCGGACGGGCCGGCGCGCCGCCCGAAAGAUUUCUGAACUGCUGCUGCCGUCAUAUGCAAAAACGCCGUAAGCCGUUGGACAUCGUUUUUUGCGAAAAACGGGUUUGUAUGUUUUGGACUUUUUAAAAUUCGUCACACCACUUACGUUUUACCUACCAAACGUACGGUGCGGAUUUCCAUGUGAUAUUUCACCUGACAAAUGCGACGACAUGAACAUAGAUAAAUUCUGAAGUGCUCGACUAUUUACAACUGUUCCCAUAGUAUUGGUGUUCAGAACUGUACCGAAUGGACUCGUGAAUAGAAUCCGUUAAAAACAACCGACGAAUAACCGACAUUGUAUCGUUCUGUAAAGUUUCCAUAUUAUUAUAUUUUGACGAUUUGUCGGUUGCAAUGUUGCGAUAAGUAAAAGCACAAUCCGCGUUCAGCAUGAACGCCGCAAAUUAUUAUUUUUAUUAAACACUGAGCGAAAAUUCCGGAUCUUCGUUAAUAUAUACGGCGUUUUUACAUGGUAAAAAUGUAUUUUUCGACCAUUUGCGGCAUUCCGUCAAAACCAAUAUCGCUAAUAGUCGUUUUCUAAAAUAACGUUUCAGACGUAUGACGGCGUAUUGAUACAAGACGUCUGAAUUUUCUUUGAUGUAAAUAACUCAAACAAUAAAUGUAUACAAAUGUACAUUUUGAUGUAAAUAAUUCGUUUUUCAAUUGUUUCGGACUCGCGGCGUUUUUGCUUAGGACAACAGGAUACUAACCGUAUAAUAAAGACAGGUAUAGUUUGUUUUUAUCUUUUUUUUUUUAAUUUUUUAAUCGCAUGCAAAAACGAUUGGCGUCUUAUUGGCCCGCGGGGAAAACGAACGUUUCGAUAUUAUGUCUUAAUCGACGGGAAAAAUUCUCAACUCGUGUAAUUAGACGAGACUGCGCUGUCGUAAAAGAAAAAAAAAAUAUGCGAUAAUUCGGGAACGCCGGAUCACAUCUGUGACCGCAUCUGUUCGCGACGACCGUAAAACGAUUCUCAGCCGAAGCCGCGGCGAAACGCGCGUUUUGACAUUUCGCGAUUCUCGCGAGGUCAAUUCAAUAUACUCGUGUAAAACAAUAUCAAGCACGUAUGACGGCGGUUCUGUAAAAAUAUCGAUUCGUUAUAAUAGAAAGAAAAAAAAUAAUAAUAAUAACCACGCGCACUCCACGGAGCGUUCCCGAGUUUCGUGUCGGCGUUAGGUACACGCACCGGUUUCGGUUUCGCGAACUGUAAUACCAUAUCGUCAAGUAUAAGUGCCGCAAAGUCAACAUUACAAAACGCCGACGUAGACAAAUAUUAGUUUGAUACAAUGUAUUAUAGGAGAGCGGCCGACGAUUGUUUAAAACGAGACGAGAACCGAUACGCGACAGCGGGGCUCGUGAAGUUUUUACGUCGAGCUCUUUCUCGCGGCGUGUUAAAAACCGGAAACGCAUUUUCCACGAGCCGUAACGUUUGUAAAUUCGGAAUUUAUUUUCGAAUACGGUGUUUAGAAAAAAACGCACGACAAAUUCUGCAGUAUGUCGCGCGUAAAUGCGAACGGUUUCGGUUUGUAGAAAUCGUCGCCGGCCGGAAAAAAAAAACGAUCGGUACGCGACCGAUUUUAAAAUAAUCCGAAUAAGAAAUGCGCACGGGAAAAAUUACUACUGAAUUUUGUUCGCACGAAGCGAACGAAUUUAUGAUCGGAAAAUAUUGCCAACCGCGCGGAAUAUCUAAAAAAUAUUUGCUGCAUAAAGCGCACUUAUCGAAAUCUGUCUGUCUGUUUGGAAAACGGAUUCCAACGUUUUGAACGUUGUCUUGACCACUCGGUGUUACGGCUCGUUGGAAAUUGAUUACGAAAAAUGUACAAUAUGACAAGAAUCGGACAAUAAUAUAAUUUCCAUUUUUCCAACCCUCUCCCCUGUUGCAUUGUUUUUAGUUAUUGUUGUACCUUUCCCCUAUAUUAUAUAGAGCGUACCGCACUUUCGUUAUUGGUUUUCUAUAUUAAGUUUCGCCGUCCUCGAUUUUCCGCCACUCGACUUUCGACACGUUUUAAUUCGUCGACCAUUUUAUAAUAACAUAACAUAUACGUUUUUUUUUUUUUUUUUUUUUUUUUAACGUAAGUACCUUGUAUUUAUUUGUUAGGAUUUCCAUUCAUUUCUCCACGUAAUACGUCCAAGUUUACAAUAAAAAACUUAACACUGUAUAGUAUAAAAUUGCACCGUUGAAUGUAUAAAUAACUGCUCUGUACCUAUAUAACAACAUAAUAAUCCAUUCAUUUUUCCGACAAUGCAUUCUGCAAUGUAAAGAACAUGGAAUUUUAGCAUUUUUUUUUUUUUCGUUUUCGACUGUAAUAAUAAUAGUUGAUUGUAGCGCGUAGGAUUUUCAAUGGAAUAACCAAAAAAAAAAAAUAUACAUAUAUAUAUACGAAACCGCAUCGUGUAGGAAUCCGUGCGCGUAUAAAAAAAAAACAAACACAUAAUAUACGAAAUAUCGAUUUAUAAAGCGAAUUUCGUGACGGACCGUGCGAUAAUCGUAGGCAUAUUAUGUUUAUUCGCGAACAAAUUGUUGUUUUUUUAUUAUUUUAUUAUUUUUUAUGUCACGUUAGAAAAUCGCGCGUUGAUAUUUUUUCCGGCAUGAUGAUGUAUGCACGCUACAAGAUGUGAAUUCAGAACGGAAUUAGAUUGACAAUUUAUUAAGAGGACGCUACACACGAUGCAUUCAUCGUCUACGUCCUAAAAAAAAUCGGCACAGCCAAAUUUCGCGGUAGAACCGAUUCUCCGCUGAUAGUUUUAAAAUUAGAGUGAAUUGAUUUACAUCGAAUCAAUCAGGGAAGAAUAUUAUCCGUAUGGUUUUUCUUUAUUUUAAUUUUUAAGAGGGAUAAAUACAUUUUUAUAUUGUGAUAUUCACACAGCCAUAUUUCGCUUAAAAAUUUAAACAAUGAAAAGAAACCAAUGGAUGAACACAGCCGACAAUGUACUCGCCUUUAAGUUUGAAGUCAAUUCAUUAUAAUAUUAAAACUAACAGCACAACAAAAUUUGCUUUGCCGAGCGCAAAUCUUUUAUGAUAUGCGUUCAGCAGGGACAACUCUAUGCUGUCAGUUUUAAUAUUACAGUGAGUUCACUUAUUAUCAAACACGAAGAUAAGAACAUUAUCCGUGUCGUGUUGUCGUUUGUUUUUUCAGCGCCCAAGUUUUAAAACGAAAUUUGAGCGCGUGAAACAUGCCGAUUCGAAAAUGCUUACAUCUCGCUCAAAAAUUAAACAACGAGCGAAAAGACCGACGGCACGACAUAUGUAGCUAAUGUUCUUAUCCUUAAGUAUAAUAAUAGGUCAAUUCGCUUUAAUAUUACAACAAACAGCACAGAAUUGUCCCGGCUGGACUCGAAAAUUGUCUACACGCGUCGUGUGACGGAGACAGCACAUAAUGCGGGUAUGGCGACCUCUUAACAUUGAACAGUUUGUACCCGAAUUUCCGACCCUACGUAUCACUAUAAUACAGUAUACGUUUAUAAAAUACUGCUGUGUGAAAAUCGUUUGUUUUUUUUUUUCUACCGAUAACGAGGUACUUUGACGGUUUAUAAUAUUACGCAGCCGCAGCUGAUGAUCAAUUUUCCGUAAGACGUUCGUAACGAUAAUUUCAUUGAAAAUAUUAUUAUUUUGUUUUUUAUAGUUUUCUUUCUAUACAUUUCGGACACACACUGCACGCAGUCCUAAAACGUUCAGUUUCUAUACGCCCUUAAAUAUGUUUUGUUGCGGUGAGACUUUAGUGCCUUAUAUACUUAGACUUAUUUUGAUUUUCAAAUAGCGACCUCUAUAUUAUUGUAAUAUAUUGAAAAUACCAAAUAACGAUUAAGUUAUUCAGUUAUAGAAGUGAUAUUAGAACGUUCCCAUAAAAUCCGUCCGUAUACCCACUGCGCAAUAAUUUAUUAAUAUUUCGAAUAAAAAUAAUUGACAAUAAGGAAUCAAGAACAUUUCGCAGAUUAUAAAACGUAUGUAUCAUGAAUGCAAUUCGUAAUCUAGUGAUAAUAUCUACGAAUGCUGCCUCAUCAAAUGUAUACGAGUAAACGCUGCUUAUUUCAUUAGUUGAUGUACAGGUAGGCGUAGCUCGAUAGGUUAGGAAACGUUAGGAGUCGACUAGUCACGAGUUCGAACCUGGCCGGAACGCUAGAAUUGUUUUGCGUUUUUGUGGAUUUUUUUUCGGAUGAAUUUUUAAACGGUCAACCAGUACAUUUUUUCGGUUCAAAUAAGUUUUAUGCGGUGUAAUUAAUAUGCAUUAAAACGGCCAUAGAGUUCAAUGAUAUCUAAUCAUUCGUUAUUACCAUAAAGUAUUGAAAGUACAACAUUCAUUAAAUGUUUAAAAUAAAUAAAUAAUAUUUUCUAUUUUCGUUGUUACGAAAUUGGUCAGAAAUACUUGUGUGAAGUUUGCAAAAACUAAACAAGUCAAUGUUAUUAAAUUUUCGAACAAUAAUAUUAUUAUUUAUAAUGUAAAACAGUAUCGUAAAGUUGCUAUUAUUUAUUUUAAAACGAUAGAUUUUCAAAAACUAUCCCGAAGGUAGUCAAUAGUAGAUGUAGUUGCGCAAAGUAUACUGAUAAGUAAUUGCAUUUAUAGCGAAUUUUAAUUGCUUUGUUUUAUUUUUAUUUUUUAAUCGUCCGCGCACUCAGAAUAGCACAAAACUAUGGGCAGUAAACGAUUUGCAAACAAAAAUACAUAUAGUAGUUGGCGGUGACUGGAGAGUAGUGGAUCAUCAUUUGUGUGACGGCUCAGCGUGAUGCGUUUGUGAAUAGUACUCCAUUACUUUACUGCUAUCCAAACUUAAAAGUGAAAUAUCUCGUCAACGGGUAAAAGGAAAUCAAAAAUAUCGACUCGACAAUGUAUUUGAACUCCGUGAAUUUACGGAAUUUAUAUUAUCGACUGCCGUUUGAAAACCAAAAGUAGGUAGUCGUCUCACUUCUAAAAUUAAAGGCUACGAAAAACGUUUGUAAUGUAACGUUUUAUAUAGCUGCUGGUUAUUUUUUUUUUAAAUUACUGUGAAAAAUAAAUUCCAAAAAAAGUUAAUACAUUCCAAGAUAUCGAAACGGGCAUACAUCUUCGUGGAGCAUCCCGUAUAGUGCAAUUGCCUUGCUUUACCGCAGGGGUGUACAAAAAAAAAAAAAUAAAUAAAAAAACACACAUACUUUUCUCCCUCAACAACAUGGUGGAAUUCAACGAAAAUUGUUUCACUUAAAUAGGCCUACGGAACAACUCUAAUUCUGUUUUUGAGCUCAUUCGGUCCUGAGGGAGCCACUAAAAGUAUCCAAAAGUAGCGGGGAUAAGAUGUGUAAUAGACCUGUAAUAUAGCGCAACCAUCUCUAUUUUCGUGGAAAAUUCGGCCGAAAAAACCGGGGGGUAAAAAACCUUUACACACCGUCGUAAAACCAACCGUCCGAGAUACAUUCAAUAUUUCAGGUCACAUACAUUGUACGCUGAACGAAGGAUAGUUUUUCGUUAUAAUCGUAAAUUAUUGAUAUUCGACGCGAGGUUAUACUCUCGUUUUGAGAUUAUAUUUUCGUGUCCGGCUUCUGAAAAAAAAAUAAAAAUUAUAUAUUUUAUUAUUAAUUAGACGUAUACAGACGGACGGAAAAUAAAUUAUAAAUUAUAAUUACAUAAUUACCUACCUGAUCAAAAGCGUGAUAAACUAUUGAAGAACAGAGAGAGUCAAUAUAGGUAAUUAUCGAAACAUUUAAACGGCCGUUUAAUUUGACAUCAAAGUUUUGUGAAUAUUAUUUUAAUAAUUUUUUUUUUUAAACAAAUAUUGAAGUCAAAUCUAAAGUACCUUUUUUUUAAGGAACGUUAAAUUUUUGUAGUUAAUUCUUUAUAAUAUUUAUACGCAAGCCAAUGAUCGACAGAAUCAUGGAUUUUCGAUAUUUUAAGUUGGUAUUAAGCGCGGCGAUCAAGGGCGUCCGUAGGGACCGUGCCCUCCCCCACGACAUCAAACUAUCUAUUAAUAAUAAUUACUUUCAAAAAUCUGUGUAGAAUUUCAGAGUGUUAACGAAUUAUAAUCACGGCCUCUGUAGAUAGUUGUGCUAUAACAUUAAGCGGCCAGUGGUCACAUUAGUUAAAUGUAUAAUUUUCAUGAUCUAACAAAAGGAUGUUGCCCCCCCUUUCUAGAAUACUAAUCAAUUCCGCCACUGGUUGGUAUACAAAUAUGUUAUAAUUGUAAUGUUGAUAAUCCGUUUGAACCUCGGAUAAUACGAAAACAACUAUUGAUAGACCUGGUGUUGUUAAUGCCAACAGAACGGCUGACUCUUCCCAUCGAGGAGCGCAGCGUUUACAUUUUGUUUGUUGUUAAGAACCGAUUUGAUAGAUAUCAAAUUUAAAAAUAAAAUGUUUAUUACUAUCUACAUAUUAAAAUUGAUGAAAAGCCACAGUGAAACAUAUGAAAAUAAAUUAGUAAUACUUACCAGAACCGUUUAGCAGUACAUUUUCCAAGCACAGUGUCGACUUCGUAUCGGGUUAUCGGUAUCGUUGACCGACACUAACAGAGUUUGAUCAAUUUCCCGUUUUACAUUUCAAUAACACGAAUAAAUUCGAACAGUAUACAAAACAAUAUUAAUUAAAUUCGGCUUUUAUCACGAAACAAAACGUAAACGUGGACCUUUUUAAUAAGAAAAGUCGGUCAUUUUGUCGACUUCAACGUUCUACACUAAAUGGUAUUGAUGAGGGGAGAGGAUGGGAGGCAGCUAACUAGUUGUUUAUAUAACUGUGGUUAAAAACAUAAACAAAACAAGCACAACUUUCUUUUUGAUAGAAACGCGAAUAUUUGUGCGAGUUCGGAGGGAUGAAAAUAUUGUCGACAAUUUGCACUGUGUACAUUAGGUCUCUAUAUACAUUUUUACGCUUAUAAUUAUUAUAUUUCUAAACGAUUUUGACGUACAGAAAAAAAAAAAAAAAAUGGAAAACCCGCUAUAAAUCAAUUAUUUCUGAAACGUAUCCAACAAUAUAAUGACAUUUUAUUUUUUUACCGCAAGGUAAUAUAUUAUUUAUUGUGUACGACGAGGUGUGUUUCGAAAACGAGUAUACGUCUUUAUUACGCGUAUUUUGGUAAGUUUUGACAAAUGGAUUGGUUCGGAGGACGGCGGCGGCGUUAUUAUUACCUAUAUUUAUUAUUGUUUCGUUGUAUUUUUUUUUUUUUCUUAUCGAUUCGGACGGCGUUUUUUUCAUCAAAGAAAACGUUUUCACGGCGUUUGAGGGGGAGGGGAGAGAAAGAAGGCCUCCGAGAAGGGUUUACGUUUUUUUCGAAAAGAAAUGUUUUAAUAUUAUUUCGAACUUUGAAAACAAAAUUUCCGUUCUCCCUUCCCCCGAGUCUGAAUAGUUACAACCUUGUCGCCCGCAGCGGUGACGGUAUUUGUUACGCUUGUUCAACGAGGUCGUCCAAUUUUUUAUAAACGAAAUAGUAUACGGUGUUUUUUUUUUUUAAUUGGACAUUAAUUGCCAAUAUCUCAAUUAAUCGAACAUUUUCACUAGUGAACAAUUUUACAUCAAUAUUAUUUUUAUGAAUUUAGUUUGAUUUUGGCAAGCAAUUUGAGUAAAAUAUUUUUUAGGAGGUAUGGAAUUUCGAAAAAAAUAUUCUUGGAUUUUUAAAUUGUUCGUGGUGUGAUAUUUUUUAUUUUCGUUAUCACUUAUAAACGUUCGACGUUUUCGAUACUUAUAUACAUUACUAGUUUAUCGUCAUAAGUUUUUAUACCGAUUUCAAAAUGCAUUCGUUCACCCUUUUCUGUCAACACCCUUCAAAUCAUGUCAACGCAAUACUCUAACAUCUGUUUACCGAACGGUUAAAAAACGACCUACGAAAUCCGUAUGUCGGGCAAUUAAUUAUUAAUUAAUAAUACGUUUGUAGUUGUAGUUGAAGGCGUUUUUUCCCUCCAGCAUUGAAUGCCCGACAUAAUAAUAGCAAUAUUACUAAACUCGAUCGGUUUUUUGAAUAUGAACAAAAUAUCGCGUAAAACAGUGUUAACGGAGAACGAGUGCUCGUGUAAAAUUAUUAUUUUUUUCGUGCGGGUAAUAUGACAGAAAUCCGUAUUAUCCGAAAAUCCGGAUGGUGAAUUUUUUAUAUCAAAAUUUUCUUCCGGAUUCCGGAAAUCCAGUGUAACCGUUGAUUUUGACUACCCAACGAUUUGUACGGGAAAAGUCGAACAUUUUUUCCGAAUUCAACUACCGUUUUUUUCGACUCCUUGAUGGAAAAUCGAUAGCUCUUGGUCUAUUUCGACUAUUUUCUUUUUACAAUUUUCCCUAACGCUCACUAAUUUUGUUCUACACAUUUUUUUACUAUUUUUACAAUUUUAAUUAAAUAGUUGAUUACCUUGCAUAUUUGUUUUUAUUGACGAAAAUAAAAUAUAACAUAGAUAGGUACUAUUGUAAUUAAUUUUAAUUAAAAAUUACAUGUUUAUAUGACUUUAAAAAUGUUUUUUAUUACUAAAUAAAUAUAUUAUUAUGAUUUAUGAGACCUUUCUUUGAUACGAUUAUUAUAAUAAGUCGUAUUUUUACGAUAGGUACUAUUUGAGUUAUUUUUUUUUCUGUUACAGUUUUAAUGUGUCAAUUUAAUACCUGUACAAAGACGGUAAUUUGUCCCAUGUAUUUCUCAUUCUGACUUAGAUUCAGAGAAUGGAUUGAUUUUACAACGAUGUUUAUUUUAUUUUAUCUUUUUCUGUGAACACCUUUUCUGCCAGUAGUUUUGCUCCGAUUAUCAAGUGUAGUACAUUUUUUGAAAGGGAAUUUUUUAAGGGUGGUAACUUAAGCACACUAUUUUUUAAUUUUCUUAGUCAUUUUCAUAACAAUUAGAAAAAAUCAAGAAAAAACAUUGGUAAAACGGGAAAAGUACAUACAUAAAUGAAACUUUUCUCGGAAUGGGUUUUUUUGUCGGCAAUAAUAGCGAUCCCCCACCUAUGAGCAUUAUCGUACCUAAGGCUUUUUGUAUAAUGUAUGCAUAUAUAUAAUGUCUUUAAUUUUAGGUUUUUAAAUAUUUUUUUUACAAAUUUUGAUAUUUAAUUACCUAGUUAUUAAUUUCUAAAACAAUUGUUCUUUAUUUACCUGAAUAAAUUAUGCAAAUUAUAAAACAAAUCGAAAUUAUUAUUAAUGCAUAAUAAAAAAGAAACUGGCAAAAUUACUGGUAAAAAAGGUGUUCACAGAAAAAGACAAAAUAUAAUAAACAUCACUGUAAUAUCAAUACAUUCUCUGAAUUAAGUCAGAAUAAGAAAUACAUGGAACAAAUUACCGUAUUUUUACAGGGACUAAAUUGACACAUUAAAACUGCAACAGAAAACAUGUAGUAUUUAAUUAAAAUUAAUUACAAUAGUACUAACCUAUGUGGUAUUUUAUUCUCGCUAAUAAAAAAAAUAUACAAGGUAAUCGACUAUUUAAUUAAAAUAGUAAAAAUAGAAAAAAAAUUAGAAAUGUAUAGAACAAAAUCAGUGAGCGUUUAGGAAAAUUAUAAGAAGAAAAUAGUCGAAAAAAACCAAAAGAUAUCGACUUUCCGCCGGGGAGCCGAAAAAAACGGAAGUAGAAUUCGGACAAAAUUUUCGACUCCCCUACGAAAUCGACUCUCCCAGUACAAAUUGUUACGUAGUCGAAAUCUACGGACACACCGGGUUAUCGAACCUCGAAAAGUCAGGAUUUUUCUCAUGACUUAUAGAAAUAUUAUAAUCGUCGUGACCCGGAACAAUGUCUGCUAAACGUCGGUAUUUUUCGGACGUGAUAUAAUUUCCAAACUAAUUCGUUUCCGCUCGAGUUAUUUUUGUAUUUAAACAGAAUAAAAUAUUGUCAAAUAAUAUUUUUUCAGCUUUCCCCCACCCCUUUUUUUUCGACCAAACAUUCGAAAUCGUAUUACGCAAUACGUCCGUAGUCGUGCAUUUUCCUUUUCCCUAUAUUAUAAUAUCGCGGCAGUGUUAUGACGACAAUAAUAUUACAUACAAAUGCAUUUUUUCGCCCUUUUCUGUCAACGGCACCCUCUGAAAUCACGUCAACGGAAUAAUAUAACAUCUGUUUACCGGCCACCGUCGCGCUUGUCGAAAUCCAUAUGCCGGACUCGAGAUUCUAUUAUGGGCGUACACAGUACGCGCGUAUAAAAAAAAUAUUAUUAAUUAGUAGUUGUCGUCGACGGUUUUUUUGUAAAAAAAAUGUUUUCAUUUAGCACACCGGGAUGAAAAGACGUAAACCAUGGCCUUUGACAAAAAUUAACGGAGGGCCGCGUUCGAAUUAAAUAAAUUCGCCGACUUCGGCAAACCUAUCGCGUGUACCGGUACCGUCGAAAAAUAUUUUUGUUUCCUGCAUUAUUUUGUUUGUCGAUGAACAAUUGUUGUUAGGAAACAAGAUUGUCGGCGGUACGUUAGAUAUCUAUAUUUUGUGUCUUGCACGGGGUGUUUCAUAUCUUUCGGAUGGUUUGUCGGUAUCCACCGCAGUGUUUAUAGAGAAAUAGAAAUCAAUUACACAAAAAUGAUCGGAAAAACGCGGCACUCGUUCGAAAAAUGACAAGAACCGUUUUCCGAAACACGGCCCGGUCGCAUAUUAACAUACUAUUAGUACCAUAGUAUACUGCACACGGUUUACCGAUGUGGUUUUGCGCAAACAAAUCGCCGGGUUUGUUUUCGAUUAAUUUCUUUCGUCCGUCCUCAUCCGUUCCACUUCGCCGAGCAUUUAUGCGAUUGCAAAUGUUACAAAUUUAAUUCACGGCGAAGAAAUUACGCUUUCGGACCGUUAUAAUUAAUCCUUAUCAUUAUUUGUCUUUAUCGUUAACUACCGUUUAUCCACCACACGCGAGCGGUUCACGGUUCGCGGACCGUGCAUAUUCGUCGAGUUUUUUUUUUGUAUUUAAAAAUUCGUCGGUCCCUUUGGUUUUUUUUUUUGGUGAUUGAUCGUCCGAUCUUUCGCGAACGGUUCCGGGCCGAUUUCGGACCUCGAACCGCGAACACCGAAUAACAAUCAUAACCGUAUAACCGUCGUUAUUGUUGCGUCGCGUCCGAUCGUAGGCGCAAAUAGGGGAGGGUCUCCGGGGCGACUUGUCCUUUCCCGAAAAUCCGACCUCCCGCCCGACGAAGCCUGACCGAUGCGUUACGGUGCGUUAAGUCCCCCACCCGCCGAAAAAAAAACCAUUUAUACCGGCAAUUCACGCCGUUCGAUUUUCGUUUGGGAAACGAAAUUCGUAUAAUAAUGUUAUUAACCGCCGUUUCGGGAUUUUUGACGCGCGGACCCACCCGUUCGGUCCGCGCGCCUUUACCGCCGCGUUCGCGUAUUAUUAUUCGAUCGCACCGCGGCGACGGCGAUUAUUGCGCGCGAAUAAUGGCCGCGACCCCACCGGUGUGGCCGUCGUUGUUAGCGGACGACAACAGCAAUAAUAAUAAUAAUAAUAAUAAUACAAAACGACAAGUACGCCGGGCCCGUAACCGCAUCUCUAGCGGAACCGCGAGGGGGGGGGGGGGGGGGGGCAAANNNNNNNNNNNNNNNNNNNNNNNNNNNNNNNAAAAAAAAAAAAAAAAAAAAAAAAAAAACGAGCGUUGCGAAAUAAUAAUAAUAUAAGAAUAAUGCGAUUACAAAUAGCGUACGUCGGUCGUACGCGAUAACGCGCGGACGAUUUUUUUUUUUCCCCCCGGGCGAAAUCCGAACGGAUUGCAGUAUUUUCGGCCGUCGACUACGCGGUCCGUUCGCGACGGUCCGUACCUGACGUAGGUGUCCAGGGCCACCGUUCGAAAAUAAUACGCGGGAUUUUUUUAUCGUCCUAGGUGCAGGCGCGGGGGAGUAGUGUUGAUUUGUACGCUCUGACACGCGGCAAAACGACUCGCGAUAGAACGUACAAAAUAUUAACACUGCUUUUGCAUAUAUUUAAAAUAAGAGAUAAAAACAGACGGACGUACUUCGCACGUGGGCGCAGCCACUGUUGUAGGCGGGAAGUUGAAAAUCUAAAUAGGAAACGGACGGGAAUUUAAUAGUUAAUUAUCUGCGAGUCAGCAACGAUAUUCAGUUGCUAACGGAUAUACGAUUCUGAUCGGAGUUCAUUUGAUAGUGUUGCUUUAUCAACAAUUUAUAACAUGUCAUAUUAUAUGAAAUAAUGAUAUCAACAAUGUGCGUGUCCGUGGCAACAAUGAUUGUUUGAAAAAAAAAAAAAUAAUAAAAACUUAACAAUAACAAUAAAUAAAUAAAAACGGUUGCCAAUGACAACCUUAUUUUUAAUUUGGGAAUCUUUUUUAACCUAAAGAACCAGGUGUUCUCAUUAUCUCGAAUAUUAACGACCUGUUUAAAAGUACCACCCAGGGAACAUUUCCUUUUAGAAAAGGUGCUAUACUUGAUAAUCGGAGUAAGCUUAUUGGUAGAAAAAGUGUUCACAUAAAAAAAAAAUAACAAAAAAAUAAACAUCAUUGUAAAACUAAUACAUUCUUCGCUCCUCUCACAUAUUAUUUUUAUACACAGAGUGAUAAAUCUAUCGUAAAACUCUCAUUAUCUCAGAAAACAUUAACUUUUUUCAGAAUUUCGUUUACAGAAUCAAGAAGUUCUACAAUUAUAUAUUUAUGUUAUUUUUUUAUCAUUCUUAUUGUCGAAGGUAAAUCCACUAUUUUCUUUUGAUUUAUUUUUUAACGGAAACCUAGAUAUAUUAGGAUUCCACGGACAGGUAGAUGAAGUAUUAGUUAAAAUACAUUUUGGCGUUGGCAUUUUUGAUUUCCGUCAUUCCGUUGACGAUAUUUUUCACUUUUCAGUUUGGGUCGGGGGAGAGUAGUGACAGAUUGAUCACCCUGUACAUGCAAUAUGAUUAUCGUGUGUAGACAAAGUGUAUUAUUCGUAACCAUUUUCACAGGUACAUGAAGUCAGGUUGAGCCGAUUUAGUCAAUUUGUAUCCCGGCGUUUUUUUGCUUGUAUACCAAACGCUCACUGGUUUUAGGCAGAUAUUCUCUAAGUAUUUUUAAAAUACAAUAAUACAUUUUAUCCUACAACAAUAAUAAAAGUAUUUUAAACGCAAUUAAAAAAAAAAAAAAAUAAUACCAUUGAGCAACGGAAUUCCGUCACUUGAAUCGAAUCUUAGAGCCACCGAUAUAUAUUUCUUUAUUUUAAAAAAAAAUUGUAUACUUUGUCUAAAAUACACGAAUUAAAAUUCCAGAGUUUUAUUACAAAAUUGUUAGUCCAUAGGGAUAUUUAAAACCUCGGCAUUUUUUACGAAGACAUGGAAUUUGAGCGGAAUCUCCGUUGUUAUGGACGGAGUUGAACAUUAAACUCCCCAAAGCCGCGGAUAUGACAGUUACACCGUGAUGGACAUACACAAAAUGUCAUUCUCCUGGCUCCAUCCGGAGGCUCCGUUGAGGUGUACGAAACUAAAAAAAAAACACACUGCUCCAGCAACAGAAAAAUGAAAUUUAUAAGGAAAUUCAACGAAAAUGUUAUCACUUGACAUUCGCCAAAAAAAAAAAAAACAACGUUAAUUCCGCGGUUUGAGAUCGCCUGGUAUAUACGAGGGAGCCGCUGAAAGUGUGCAAAAGUAGAGGGGAUAUGAUAAUGUGUAACGGGCAUGCAAUAUAGCGAAACUGUCUUUAUUUUCGGGGAAAAUUUUAACGAAAAACCGCGGGGAGGGGGGGGGAGGAAACCCUGACACACCGUCGUUAACCCAACUGUCCGGAAUAUAUUCAAUGUUUCAGGUCAUAAUGAUACAUAAUAUAAUAUAAAGGUUAGUUUUUCGUUGUAAUCGUAAAUUAUUGAUAUUCGACACGAGGUUAUAAUAUGCGCGCUUUGAAGUUGUAGUUUUGGAUUCGACUUCGUAAAGAGAAAAGUCGAGACGUUUUAUUAUUAAUUAGGUAUAUAUAUAUAUACACCGACGGGAAAUAAAUUAUAAAUUAUAAUACAAAAUAUAAUAUAUGUUUCUAUAAUUUCGUGAUUAAUAUUUUAGUAAUAACUUGACUAUUUUCUUUUUACUAACCCGAUUGAUAUAUAAAUAUAUAGGGUUACAUAGUUUAUAACCCAAUGUCAGCAACGAUAAUUUUUUUGAAACCAUUCUGAGCGGAAUAACGUUAAACACUUUGUUUGAACAAUUUAAAUCGCGUUAAUUUGUCACUGAAAAAUAAAUUAUAAUACAAGUUCAAUACAAUGUAAUUACAAUUACAAUAUUAAAUCAUAAAUUUGAAUUUAAGACACUUAAAAAAAAAAAAAAAAAAAAUAAAGACUAUAGGCUCGUUUUUUAUUUUUAUUUUAACAAAAUUGAGCAUCUUAUCUUGUAUCAAAUAUUCGAUCAUUUUUGAGAAGUCAAAAAAUCGCAUCUGCAUAAAAUUAAAAAUAUUCGAUCAUUUCAACGAGGUAUGUAUAUAACUUAAACCGUACCAUGGUAUCUAUAUAAUUGGACCACGUCUGAAGAAUACUUAUAAAAGUUUUCGGAGGAAAUUUAAUGUCACCAGGAAUACUUUUCGCUGAAUCACAAAAUAAAACAAAAUCGAUUUUAACAGAAGCCGCUGUACCGUAAAUAUAUCCGGUUUUCUUUCAUUAUUAAAAGAAGUAAAAAAUCAAAAAAAUCAAUGAGACAAAAUUGUCAAACAAAUCCAUUCCUGGUAUUGAUGAUCGCAAUAAGAUUUCUGGUUCAAAAUUAAAUUUUCAAUUAACCUUUUAUUGAUUUAUUUUUAUUAGGUAAUUUAAAGUUUGCAAAAAAAAAAAAAAAAAAAAAACUUGUACACAAAAAAAGCCAACGAGGAGACGGGGAGCACGGUUUCGGUGGCAAGACAAGGGGGGGAGGCUCAUUUCUCCAUGGUUGUCUUUCUGAUUUUUUGAUUAAAACUUGUAAAAAGAAAAAAAAACCAACAUUGAUUUAGCGAAAAUAUUUCCUCGUGGUAAUAACUAAUUAUUUUUUUAUUGAUUAUGAUAUAAUGGAUACAUACACGAAUUGCUAAAUUGUAUUGAAUUAUAUCUUUUUUUUAAAAAAUACAAAAAUGUUUAAUAUACGAUAAAAAUUAAAAAAACAGUUUUCAGGGUGACGAUUAAUGUUAUAAUGUUAGAUAGUGCGAUUUGACAGUGAUUUUAUGAAAUAUUAUAAAAAUUCUAGGUGUUUCAGGGUUUAUUAUUAUUUUUUUUUUUUUGUACAAAUUGUAAUUCUUACCGAGAAUUCAAUAAGUUUUAAUUUAUGUAUUAAGGGUUUCUUAAUUCUCCUGCCGCAUAAAUACGCCCGAUUAGAAUAUGUAUAUACAUUUUUUUCGUUUUGGAAAAGGAUUCAAAUUCGUACAUAUAUUUGCACAUUGGACUCGAAUCAUAGAGUCUGCGAAUUUUCAAAUUCCAAAUCCAAUGUACUCCUAUGGUUAAAAACCUUCAAUUUUCAAAAAAAAAAAAAAAAAUUAUAAAUGUUUAAAAUCUGACUGCACUACGAGACGGGAUAGCUGAAUCUGUAUUAAUCUGUAUUGAUCCGUAAUAAGCGUGUUUUCGGGGGAAAAAACAUGUCGCGCGCACUGUCCUUCGGGAGUUUUUUCGUCUUUUUCGAACCUUUUUUUAAAAUUCGAUCGGGCGCCCUUUCCGGAAUGAGCGAUUCAUACAACGGUUUUCGGGCCAAGCGCGAUGUCCGGCCGAAUAGUAAUAUUUUAUUUCCCAAACUAAAACCGAACACUAUAUAAUGCAACGUAUCGGUCGGUCAGUGUUCGGAGAAAACAAUAUUAUAAAAUGCCCGUUCGGCUGUGUAAUACUGCAGACGGACGUUUAUUAAUUUUGGAUUUUCGAAGUAUUCGCGUUCCGUAUCGUAUCGCAUCCGAACCCGAACGGUUCGGUCGCUCCGUGUAAAGGUGUAUUUAGGUGUGCGACAAUAGAAUUUCGCGAGUCGCGAGUCGCGCCGCGUAUUGUACAAAAAAACGAAUAAAAACAUUCCGCGCCAUCGGGUGUUAUUUACGAUAUUCUAUUCACUCUCUGUCCAUCUAUCUAUCCGCGUUUGUAUACGGCGUACACGAAUUAAAAAUUAACGAGCGCAGUGUGACGGCCUACGACUUUUUCUCCCUUUCCCGCGUUGUAGUGUUCUCGCGUUACGUUUGUCAUUUAUUCACGGUUUUCCUACCGCUCGCCUUUGCGUAACGCGAAAUAUAUAUAAAAAAAAAAAAAUAAUAAAAAAAAUAAGGCGAUUUUACGAGCUCGCGCGCGUCAAUCCGCGCCGUGCGCGCAUUAUUGCGUACAGUGCCGUUUAUGUCGGCCACGAGACGACAUUGCGAAACUGCAGACGCGCGCGAAUUUUUUUCUCCGUUUCACGACCGGGACAACGAGGUGCCGCCGUUCUCGAAAUUAUUCGCCGGGCCCGUUGUCCGCGACCGGGCGCGGGAAGUGCCGGUUAUUGUGUCGAUUAUUUUUUCGGGGAAAAAAAAAAAAAAAAAAAAAAAACCCAUUCGGGAACGGAAAAAAUGUACGGUACGGUCUAUUAUCGAUUUCCGAACGAAAAUUAAGUNUUCCUACCGCUCGCCUUUGCGUAACGCGAAAUAUAUAUAAAAAAAAAAAAAAAAAAAAAAAACCCAUUCGGGAACGGAAAAAAUGUACGGUACGGUCUAUUAUCGAUUUCCGAACGAAAAUUAAGUCGAAGUUUUUUUUUUUGUAAAAUCGAAAAUCGUGCAAACGUUUCGGAAAACCGCAUGGCCCGCUGAACGUACACGCUCAAACAGUUUUCCGAACAAACCAAAUCGCCCCUGAUAUAUUGUUACUGUCGUCGCCCAUUCGUAUCACUUAUACCAUAUAUAUAUAUAUCUAUUUCAUCUCCUCCGGCUUCAUUUGGAAAUGCCGCUUGUGCGCCACUCAAAUCGCAAUGCAAAAAACAUUCGUUUCAUCGGUGAUCAUUGUUUAAUAGAAAUUCGCAAUAAUUUUGUUUAGUAAUACGUUGAUUGUUUCAUUUCGAUAGUUUGAAUUUGAUUUUCGUAUUACUGUUAUAUAUAUUUACCAACUAUAAACAAUAUGGAUGUACAAUGUAUGAGAAGAGUACAAACUGUAUAGAUAUUAAAAUAUACUCUCAACAAAAUGAAUGAGAACACCACUGUACGAAGGUACAAAAGAAAAAGAAUAUUCCGAAGAUCUAUUUCAAUUAACAGUAUAUAUAAAUAUAGAGGUGCGCAUUUCUACUAUAUUUCUAAAAUAAACUAUGUAUAAUAUAUAUACAUAUAUAUAUAUAUGGUAGUAGCGAGGUAGGGGAGUGAAAAUUUAGUGUAAUGGCAGAGAGAGAGAAUUGCCGAGUAUAUGUAGAGAGUGGCCGUGUAGUGGCGAGUAGUGGCGGAGAGGUAAGUAAUAUCCGCACACCGGAGUAUAAUUUAAUUUAUUGCUAUACACGACGAUGAAUUAUAUUGUAUUGUCGAAAAACGAUUCUAAGCGAUGUUCGAGUAAAACGUUGGUUUUAUAUAUUUUAAUAUUUAUUAAUUUAUUUUAAAUUUGAAUUGUACAAAAUACAAUAAAUUGUUCGUGUAAUCGUGUUAUUAACAAAGCUGUACACAAAAUUCGAACUUCAAACGCUAGUGAUAAAAGUAAACUACUAAACUUCCAAAAGAAAAAAAAAACUCAAACAUUACAAAUAGCUGUUAAUCACUUUCAAAAUAGACAGAAUAUUUUCGAAACUAUUGUAUCACGUCCAGAAAGUAUAUGGCAAACGUUCAAGCCUUAACGAUAAUUUUCACAGAAUUAGAAAAAAAUAUAUAAUAAUAAUAACAAAAAUUCGUAACAUUUCGGUUUUUUCCUUCGUUUUCCCACCAUUAUUCCGAAAACUACGAGGAUAAUAAAAAAAAAAUGACACGUUUAACGCUCCAACUAUAUACGUAAUUCGCAAUUAGAAAUCGUCCAUAUCGAUAAAUGGACCAAGAGGAUUUCGGUUAGAAAAUUCACAAAAAAAAAAAAAAACAUUUUGUACGGGUUGAAACAGAAGACUUUCCACAGAUCGUGUUGAACUCCGUUCUACGAUAUUUUUAUUUUAAACCACAUAAUACCGUCUAGAAAAAGAUCAAUUUUUAAUUUUUUUUUACUCGAUAGCUUUUCUUUUUAUAUACCUGCCAUUAUAUUAUGGAAUCAAAUAAAAAAUUGUAGUACAAUGCGGUCCAUAAUAUAAUGUUGUUGCAGUAAUCGGCUAAAAGAAAAAAAAAAAAAGCAUUAGGAAACUACUAUGUUGACAACGAUUCUUCCUUAUAGCUAUAACUCGCAGAGUAAUUAUUUUCGUCCGUAAAACCGGCCGCAUCUCUUCCUCCUAAGCGGGUAUCGGGUAGUAAAUUCCGCGGUAAAGUGCUAUUCUAAAUGUUACGAAACCGGAGAUAAUUCGGUAUACCGAUAGGUACCGGGUUUCGGGAGAAAAAAAAAAAGCACACAUCACAGCGAUGUCAAUACGUUCCUCGUCACGCUCCGAAUUCAAAGCGAACGAAUAAUAACAUAAUAUAUUAUGCGUACGAGUAUUCAGUAUGAUAUACAAUGUUGUCAUUUCGGUGUAUUCAAAAACUUGACGCUGUAUUUAAAUGAGUAAAUCGCGUGAAUAGUUUUAUAAAUUCCCGCAUACUUACGUUCGUUUUUUCAGACGGCAGACAUUUUCGUUGACACUUUGUUGACAUCAAAAACGUUCGGCUGUUUCGAUAAUUAGCAUUAAUGCAGCGUUAUUUCUUAUAACAUGUUCCGAGAAACUUCAAGUGAAAACUAAUUAAUGAUCUUCUUUACAAUAUUUUCAAAAUUUACCCUUAUCCCGUGUACACCGUAAAAAAACACACUGUUCACUUCCAUAGUAAAUCGCAUAAUUACAUUUUUAAAUGUACCACAAGAAUCGCUUCCCUUCCCGAUAUUAUCUUAUCCGGUCUACAUUUUAAACUGCUAUGUAACAUCCGAUACGAGUGUAUCGAGCCUAUCGAUAUUUUUUUUAUGUAAAAUAGCCUUUUGUCAAAAAUACCGGAAAGCUAUUGAUCUUUGACGUUCAAAAGGUGUUACCACUUUUUCGGGUGCCCGAGAAAUAAUAAGGAGGUGAUGGGGGAAAUUCAAAAACGACCACAAACUUAAACGAUUUCAUUAAUAUUGUAAUAUGAUUGUCACAAAACCGAAAUCAAUUUCACGGAAAAAUUCUCCGAGGAAACCGUUACGCGAUCGUGAUAAAAAUAAAAUAAUCAUCCUGUAUACCUAUACGCGUUGUGAUUGGACGGAUGAAGCAAGUAUCAUCGUUCUACCGCGUUUGCGCACAUGACGUAUAAACGUAUAUUACGUCGCAAAUGUUCAGUGCUCCUGUAUAUUGUUUUCUUAUUAUAUUAUACUUGUAUAAGUAUACGUAUCCAUAAGAAUAUCGACGCGGAACCCGCUGUAUAAUAUUAUUGUUGCGUCAGGCGUGGAACAACUGUAAUAAUAACAAUGACAACGAUGGUAAUAACGAUCGCGGUGUACUUAGAUACGUCGUCGUAUACCUAUACUUACCGGUCGGAUAUUGCCGUAGAACACGUGAAUAAUUUUCCUAUAUAGCGGCGGAACGACUAUUAUUUUUUAUCAUAUAAAAAGCACCUAUUAUAACGAUAACGACUAUAAUACAGCUGUAUCACUGCGGUUUUAUUGCGAGGGAUGGGGUGAAGGGCGUGGAUCGUCUCUCCUCCCCCCACCAUAUACGUUUGUACGUAUAUCAGCCUAUCAAUGGGGAGGGGGUGAAAUUGGAUUGAUUAUUUGUACCAGUAUAUUUUGUAUACGUGUAUAGUUUUUUUUUUCUGACUUGCAGGCCACCUAAUACCUUUUGCCGCUCCUUCUCGAUUUCCGUCGUUCCCCGCAGGCUUCCGAAUCUUUGUUCGCUCUAUCAAGCCAUCUCUGGCAGGCUCUACCUCUUUGUUCCAUCCCGCUUGGUUUAUUGAUCAAGUUCUUAUGUAUUAUCUUAUCCUUUGUCCGCCAGACAGGGCUAAUCCAGACUCCCAGUUUCUAUGGUCUUUUGGCCUCGGAUAGUUUUAUGCGUUUUGUCUAUAUAUACUUUUCUGACCCCCAGUUUCGUACGGACCCUGCAUUAAUGUAAUGUAUAUUGUAUACACACAAUUUUAUGUCUGUUACCUGCUCUUCGGGACUUGUCGAAACCCGCCACUGAGAUGUACACGGACCGUGUUAUGCUUACCUCGAAAAUUGCUUACAAAAUACUCGAAAACACGUCAAACGGACAUACAUGUGUGUUGUGUCUCGUGGGGGUGAAUCGAAAAAGAAACAAUGUCUUUCGUCGAAUUUUUACGAUGACCUUUCCUUUGGUUUUACAGUGUACCUACCGCUUAAAUGCUCUUGCACACGCGGACAGAGAAAAUAAUGGAUUUUAAAUGUAAUAAAACAAAUGUCAUAAGCGUGUUCAUAGUCGCGAAAAGGGCAUCCGACUAUUUUAUUUAUUUUUGUUCAAGCGGUUAAAGACAUUAUUCUUUCAUUUUCGGCGCGCAAUCGAAAUCGGCGGUUCCUAUCGACCGAUUCCUAAUAUGUAUCCGUUCGCUAUUUCAAACUUGAAACGUGAGCACAAUAUACGUAUAUGUAUAAAUUGUUUUUUUUUUUUUAAAACGUAUAUAUUAAUCGGCAACGAGUUUGAGAGUUUGAGAGUUAUUUAUGUCUGUAGUUUAUUUCAAAACCUUUUAAUUGCACGCGAAGGCGUCCGGACUUUAAAGGGAGAGGGCAAACUAAAGAAUUUUCAGACGUUUCGCAACUCUUAUGAUACUGCUUGAACAAAUCGGCAAAUUCAUGUAUUCUUUCAAAAAAAAAAUAAAAAAUAAAAAAAAUAUGAAAAAUCCAUCUUAGUAAAACUAUAAUGGCUUUUUCGGUACAUUCCGAAUAAAAACAAAUUCGUAUUCAUAAAGUCGAGUUAUUUAUAUAAUAUAUGUAUUAGUAAGUAAACUUGCACCGUAAAUGUAUUUCGACCGGGGGUUUAAUGCGAACACAAGAAAUAUAAUAUUUAAAUAUUUAGAAUCGGCCCGUGUACUUAUUAAAAAAACAAAACGUUCAAAACGGCAAUAUUAAAAGCUCGACGACAAAAAUAAAUAACAAUGCAAUAUUUUACAUAAUAUUUUAGUUGCGAAAGUUUCAAACAUGCGCGAAGCCUGCAGAUUGCAUAAAAGAAAAUUAUACUUGGGUAGUAAUAUUAUUUUCGCGGGCGAAUCGAAUCGUAAACGUUCCCGUGAAACGUGACGAGACGCCCGUCUCGAGGUUCCGAACCGCGGGGAUAAAAGCUUUGUACUGUGGUGUCUGAACAAACGGAAAAAAAAAAAAAAAACGCCGAAAUCGAAACGGGUAAAAACCGACGUCUGACACCCGGCCAUCGCGCUUGCGUAUCACAAAGCUGCGAUCAUACCUAUAGAUUUAGCCACGGUUGGGCGAGUGCGAGCGUCUGCAGCGUUGCCCUGAAGAAAAAAUUCGUAAAUUUCCCCGUCACAAUACACUAUUUUCGCUGCGGUCGAAUGUUGUUUUGUUUUUAUCGCAAUAGAUAACAACGUUGUUGUUGUUGUUUUUCUUUUGUCGUCUCGAACCGCGACGUUCCCGCGGUAAUACGCCGAAAACAAACUCCCCGCGCGGCGCGAACCGCUCUUUUUAUUAUCGCGUGAUAAUAAUGUUGCGAUUAUCAUGAUAAUAAACGGCGACGAUUACGGCGUCGGAUCGCCGCCGCGGAAUCGUUUGUUAUUAUUAUAUGCGCGCACGUUGUCGUCGUCGUCGUCGUCGCCGUCGUUCAUCGGGACAAUAAAACGCACGGUAAUUACCCGGUAAAUAGCACGUGGGACGUUUAGACGUGGCGCGUUGUGCGUCGCCGCCGCCGUCAUGACUCACCGCCCCCGCACCCGCGGCGGGUUACCGGGGUCGAUUUUCGGGAGGGAGGGGGGGGGUCGGAAAAACAAAAGGCCAAAAAAAUAAAUAAAUAAAUAAAUAUGAAAGAAAAAAAAAAAAAUAGAAGAAGGGUGAAAUCCGUUUGCGGAACGGUAUAACUACCGUUGCGCACGCCAUCGUAAUAUUCCAUGGCCGAACGGUUUCGCGUUGUCCGCGCACGUCCAUGUUGUACACACAAACACCGUGAACUACGCAAACGGAAUGUCACCGUCGUCGUUUCCGCGCACGCACGUAAUGCGUUCGCGUUACACGUGAUAAUAAUAAUUGUCGUUAUUGAAAAGGGCUCCGGAGCAGGUUGCUGUUUGACAAUCAAAACGUAAUACUCGUUUUUAUUGUGCGAUGCGCAUUGUUACAACGAGGCGUGUAACAGGGGCGGUCAUUUGAAAACAACGUUGAAACAAUAAAGUGUAGAUAAUUCCGUGAUCGCUGAAAAAAAAAAAAAAAAAAGAAAGAAACGGAAUUUACUAAAAUUUCUCCCGAAAAAAUGAAAUUUCACCGUUCGUACACGCAUAUCGUCGUAUUGAACGAUUUUAAAAACAAAUCGACUUUAGCAGCGAAGAAACAGAAAUUAGUACUUUUAUUUUCACCGCUAACUGCGAUGUAUCUAAUCAAUCUAAAACGACGUCUUGUACUUUAGAUUCUGAGCGGUUGGUUUCUUUUUUCUGUGGACUAAUUUAUUACCAGACAUUUUGUGCCGAUGUUCAAGUGUAGCCCUAUUCUUAAAGGGGACUUUGACUGGGGUGGUACUUUGAGCAGGUCAUUUAUUUAUUUUCCCAAGGGUUUUCCUAAUAAAUGUGAAAAACCGGGAAAAAACGUAGACAAGAUAGGAAAAAUUACGGAAAUAAUGCUUUUAUUAUUAUUUUCAAUUUCGUUUUUUUAUUGUAAUAGUGAAAAAUAUUCGUAGAGACUUGACAUUUGGCCAGAAAACUUAUAUUUGUUUUUUUUAGGCGCGGUAACAUUUUCAAAUCAUUUAAACUAUUUCUAAGCUGUUGAUGGACAUUUUAAUUUUGAGAGGUUUUUUACGUAGUUUUGUAUUCGGUAGGUACUGUAUGUGGAUAAAAUUUUUAAAUUUAACAGAAAUAUUUGAAAAUUUAACAGGAGGUUCAUUAGAAGUCGUAUAAGGAACUUAAGUACCAAAUUUUGACGAAAAUAUUAAAUAUUGUCUUUCAAAACAUGCAUAUGCAUAAUUGAACCACGCUCAGAAUCGUUAUUCGAUAAUAAAUAUUAAUUAUUGUGUAUAGAAUGUAUACAUUAAAUUCCCAUCUAUAUCCCAUACCUUCCCAACUUCUCACGUACAACAGCGGCCCACCGAUCGUACGAAAUAGGUCCGACUUUUUUAAAUUACAACAUUUUAGAAGUCAAGAAACACAUAACAUUUACAGUUUUGAGUUAACUUUCCACGGAUCGUUCGACGCGACGCGAUUUCUCGUUUAUUAUUAGGGAUGAGAAGUUUUAGGCUAUUAAAAAUACGCACUUUUAUAUCUAUGUCUUCUAAUUACAAAUGGGCGAGCUGAAAAAUUAUUCCAUAACUUAGCGAGUUCAUAUUUGUGGUUUUUUUUUGCAAAUGUUUGUAUAUUCAGUGAAUUUGCACUUAUUAUUAAUGAAUUUUACCCCAUAAAACAAUAAUUGAACACAAAGCCCGUAUAGUUUCAAUAAUACAGCGUUAAAAAUCUAAAAUGCAAAAUGAAAUAUAAUACAAUAGGAUUUUACUUUAUUAUUUAAUUUUCGUACGCGUACUUUUUGACAUGUUUUCGUAAUUUUUUUAUUUUUUCUUUCUUUUUCGUGCGCGUAUUUUGUCAAUUCUUCGUCCUCCCCGGUGUAACUUCUCGUCCGCACCACUCGUGAUAUUACAACACCGCAAUGGACGGGCGCACCCUGCGCACGAUAACGACGCCCAUCGGUGUACAUUAUAAUACCGCGUACCCGCGCGUCGCACGGUUUUUUUUAAAAACCGCAACGUCGCGACGAACUCCCUGCCGAGUGGGUCGCACUAAUGAGUAGUUUCGCGCGCCCGAUCCCGACGUCUCUCGAACGCCCACACACCGUUCCCCGCGUAAAAACGUCGCCGCCGCGGCGGCCGUCUCGAGAGUGGCCGCGCCACUCGUAACUCCUUUUUACGCUUGGUUUUUUAUUUUUUCUCCCCGCAAAACACCGACGCGUGUCUGCCCGUCGCGCAUGCAGUCCGAAAGGCAUAAUGUCGUUACGUGUUAUUCUAUACGCACGGCACGUUAUUCCCCGGGGACCGGGGUCGAACCGCCGCCGAUAUCGCGCGUGUGCACACGCGGUCGUCAAGACGCGAUAGAAACGCACGGUGGAGGGGUGGGUGGGUUGACGGGGGGCGGCGAAAGCGACGACGUGUUGUUUGUCGCGCACUCGGGCGCGUUUCACGCGGGGAAACCGCGCGACGAGCCGUGACGUUAUUGUGCGCCGCGCAGGGGUGUGCCCGGCGGCGGCACGCUCGCCCGUUGGCCUACUGGCGUUUUUCAAAACGAUUUUUUUUUUUCUCCCCGGCGUGGUUCGCUUUUCUACGCGUACGUCCGUAAAGUCACCAAUUAUUCUCCGCGGAACCUGUCAAAAGGUGUGGUUGUUUUCGUUUCGUUUCGUUUUUUUUUUUUUUUUUCGUUUUUGAUUUCAUCGCGAUCCGGCCGGUUUCUCGGAGCGUUUCGCGCGAACCGAAGCGCCGCGGCGGUUUUCGCAAACGGUCGACAUCAUUCGUGUUCGCCGAUGUCUGGUUCGACCACGCGGUUUUUCAAACGUUUUUAUCCCCGGCAGCGGCGUGGACGAGCCCGGUAAACGCGACUCGGAAAAGUCGAGUACGGGGNNGGGGGGGGGGGGGGGGCUCGGUCGCCGUUCGGAAACAAGAGUUUGAUUUACGCUCGUUUACGGCAGGGUGCAGUUUUGAAAAUAUACUGCAAAUCAAAUCGUUAAACGGUUCAACAAUAUACGAGCGGAAAAAUAGAUUUUACACGAACUCGUUGUGCACCGAGGUUAAAAAAAAACAAAUUACCAUACAAUAAAAUAUUUUGAGUAAAAAACGAAUUGUCGGGAAAUGUUAAGAACAUUGCGAGUACGCGUUCUGUAUAAUAUUCGUCCGUAUUUAAAACACGAAAAAAUGAAAAUACAUUGAAAAACCGUAAAAUCAUUCGAAAAGUGAAAAGAAAACCGUCGAACAAUGUAGAAUACAAAUUUCACUUUUUAAGUAUCUUUUACACGAAUCGCAAAUUAUGUACUUGGAUUGCUCGAGAGCAGAAAAAAAAACGGUCUUAGCAUUGAAUACAAAAGUAAUAAUACAAUUGAAUGAUCCCACUGUAUAAUUAUUAUUACAUAGGUAUAAAAAUGAAAUAAAUCAAAGAAUACGCUCGAGUGGAAAGUUUUCGAACUUUUUCCGCAGGCCCUCGCGAUCGAAUCCCGGGGCAAGGGCUGCAGUCAAACAAUGUUUUUUUAUUAUUGUUAUUUAUUUAUUUUUUUUUAUUACACAACAUAAUAUUAUGCACCUGUUUAUAAUAUCGUGUACAAAACACCGUGUCUAACCGUAUUGAUUAUUAUCUGUGUCGGGAAUUCAGUCGGAACGAAAACGGCCGAGUGUAAUAAUAAUAAUAAUAAUUAUAUACACUCCCGAUAAAUGUGUGGGCUUCUUCGUGUUUUAACAGAUCGUUUUUCUCCUACGAUUUUAACCGGUUUUAGAAAUUGUAUUAAUUAGUAUUGGGAGAAAAAUUAAAAAGAUUUUUUUUUUUUUUUAACAUUUACAAUCCGAUUAUUAUAAUGAGCAAAUUCGACAGAAAGGUCCAGGAAGAAAAGUAUGAUCGAGGCAACCACCCGUUGACGGUAUCCCUAAAAAGAGUUUUAAAAGACAGAUAUAAAAAAAAUAGAUCAAAUCUAGAAAUUUUAUAGUUCUCAGUCGUCCGUUCCGGUAAAAAUUCUUUCUUUUCCACCACCGGUAUUUUACUCGGUUUUUAGUAUACACCCGCGGCUUCGGUUCGAAUGAUAUUUUAUGUUAUUUCCGGACUCGAUUCGACGACGUUUGAAAUAUUAGUCCGAGACUCGAUCGGCAAUGUUGUCGGCCCGUAUAGCUUGAUAAACGAAUAUUUAUUAACAUUGUCUUUGUUUUUCUGUUACAGAUAUUUUUGACGAAAGAGCCGCCUUGAUCGGUAAGCGUGCAGCGUUAUUUCAGAAUCAGUUGCGGAUAAUAAAAAACUAAUUAAAAACAAAAAUGUCCUCUCAGAAUGUCGCCGUAGUGAAUUUAACGUAAUUCGACAUAUACACACGAGCGUAAAAACUUCACGGUGAACCGGAUCAACGGGUCGCUAAUUAGGUAAUUCCGUCUCGUUGUCCUACGGACAUUGAACACGACAAUUGGCAAACCGCACGACACGAUGGUUCUGAGGCACGGAUUUUGCCGUCAAUGUUCCGAAGUGCUGCUCGUCGUCUGCACAAUUACAAUGGCCAUAACAGGUGAGUGAAUUCGGUUUCAUUAUAAUAUUUAUAAUAGUUACUGUUAAAUGGUUAUUGGGCAAAUAAAUAGAGGUAUGCAAUUAAGUAUUUUCACGAAAUUUUCAAAAAAUAAUAUUAUAAUUUCGGAGGUCUCUAAAACUAUAAAUUGAAAAUUGACUUCCUAAAAAAUCUAGACAAUUUGUCAACAAACGCAUACCAUAAACGUUUUAAUCGGACAUCGGGGAGUUUUAUUCGUGUAAAAUAUACGAACACUAGUGGCGUCCUGACCUCCUUAAGCUAUACACGAACUGCAAUAUUGCCACCUAACAUCGUCCAGUGGCGAGAUUCGCAUUUGCAUAUGGGGGACGAUAUCUAAAAAAGUUCUGUAUACACAUCCAUCAAACAUAUUUUCGAGUAUAAAUUGAUAAAGUAAAAUGCUUGAAUGAAUAGGCAUCAAGCCUACUCUUUCAAACAAUGCUUCUGUUAUUAUAAAUAAUACUAAUGUGUCAUGACGAAGUUGACAAUGUGAGGAAAUUCAUAAAAUGUUAAUUAGUGAAUAAACAAAAAAAAAGGCGAAAGGAAUGGAUAUGACACUCUCAUCUCCCCUCAUAGCAUGAGUAGUAAUCAUAAUAUCACAGCGUUCUUAUAAACGAGGUAAACCCAGAAAUCAACAAUAAUAAUACCGACGUAUCGUUAUUAAAUUGUUGAAUUAUUCGCGUGUUUUCGUUAUAACAUUAUUUUAAACGCACUAAAACACUAUAAUGCACUUUGCCCGCGUUUAGCGGACUGAUUACUAAUUUCUAAGUCCGUUAAAUCUUCGGGUUUGUUUUAUUCGUUUCUAUUAUUCCGGACAAUAAAAUAAUAAUAUUUUAACACGGCACGGCGUCGAAGUCUUUUAUCGUCGAGUUUUUUUUCCAUAAACUUUAUUUCAUUUUUCAUUCGCGGAUUCUUAUUGGAAAAGGAAAUAAUCAUCACUGUUUUUGCACAUUUUGCUUGUCUCGCGCUCAUCCGGUUAAAAUAUUUAAACCGGAAAUCCUUCGCUUGGACGUCAAACUGAUUUUAAAGAUUAUAGUUUUAUUCUACUUGUAUAUACCGUUGAAAAACAAAAAAAUAUUUGAUCCUUUUAUAAACGACAAAAUCACCAGUAAGCAGUAGAGAUCUGACAUCAUACACAGGGUCGAAUUAUUUCCCGACUAUUUUGUAUUAUAAGAACAUUCCGAUUUCUGUGCAAAACAAUAAAUAACCAAAUACUACAAUAAUACUACUAAUGUUAUAAAUGCGGAAGUUUGUGAUUCAACUAUGCCAAAACAGACGAACGGAUUUGGACGAAAUUUAGCACAUAGAUAGAAUAUAUUAUAUUAUGUAAUACCGUCAGUAAUACUUGCCAGUGCGAAAAAAGGCAAUAUUUUCCGGGAUAACGAGUGUCUUAUCGAGGUAUGAUCACUCUGCAUACGAACUAAUGAGUAGUUUUCAUCACGAAUAUUUUGUUUGUCGACACAUAUGACGAAAAUUAAUUUUUUUUUUUUUUUUUUUAUUAAAUUUAUUAGAUUCGCGUGUUCACGCGUAUACCGUGAAUUUUGUCGGAACGUUUAACAAAUCCCAUACCGUCGAACACGCAGUUUUUGUUUAUGUAGUUUAUAUUAUUAUCCUAUUAAAUGAAAAAAAAAAAAAUCGAAUAACGGUAAACGUGCCGUAAUAAAAUGUAUAUUUAAUUUGAAAAAAAAAAUAAAAAAAUAUCUUCUCGUAAAACAUUUCAUUCCUCUUUCCUGCGUUUUAAUAUUAAAUUAGUUUUCAAUUUGCCAUGAAGACCGAGUGAAUUUAAUUACACCUUUAUGUAAACAUACGGAUGUAGUUGAUAUAUUUUGUUUGAAUUUUUUUUCUUUUUAAAUUUAUUAUAGUAAUUUUUUUAUUAUGAAUUUUUCAUUUUUCUCCCCCCAAACUAAUAACACCUCUAUAUUGUGCGAUAGGCGCGACCCCGGACUGACAGGUGUGUAAGGGCGAGGCGGCAGACAUGUGCCUGCGUUACGAGGCCGAACGAACGUCACGAGCUAAUAUUGUUGGGUAUUAUGACACAAUUGAGCAUAAAAAGAUUAAGCAAAUUCGUCAAGAAUUUAGAGAAGAAAUAAAGACGACUUAAUCGUAUGGUAUUAACACGCAUUAACGAAAAAUAAUAUAAAAAUCUAUGUAAACAUUAACAAUGACAGCAGGGACACUUAAACGUUAGGUAAAGUUGCAUCCGAAACUAUUGCUCGUUUAAUGGCUAAUACACUUGUGAUGACAGUCUUAUUCUUAGGUUUGCCAACUAUUUCUGAGCGCAUGGGUCCUCUUUAUAUAGCUGUUUGGUACCACCGAUGAACUUUGUUGUCGGACACUCAUCAGUUAAGUGUUGAAUCGACUGUGCUUCGCCACAAGUGUAUAGAGCCAUACCCUAUUUAUGCAAUGGCUCGUUGCGUUUUCAUUUUCGAACUAUUUUAUAAAAAUAAAAAAGUAUGAGUUAAAAAAAAAAAAAAAAGAAAAAAAUUUCAUUGAUCGUGGGUUUAUUUACCCGUUUGAUAAUAAUAAAAUAUUAAUACUUGCAGCGAAGUUAAAAUAAUAUGAAAUAAAUCAAAUCGAUACCAUCUUGGUAAGUGUUGUUUCGUUUCAUCUGGUUUGGAUAGAAUAGUACAGAUUUUCAGUGUUUUUACAAUACUCCGGCAACGUGCACGUGGCAACGUCAUCACGUAAACUAUUCCAUAUUAUGCUCAAUCGCGUUGAUAAAAACGAAUACACUCAAUUUGUAACACGGUCAAUCGUGUCUUCACGAACUAUUUUGUCGUUAGUGAUCGAUUACAGUGUUACGGUAACGCGUUGGGCUUUUCUUAAACGACACGUGCUCUUCGCGUGUUUACUGACCGUUCGUAUUCCAUGCUCUAGCGCAGUGGUUUUCAACACGUCCGUCGCGACGCUCAGGCAGCGGCGGAUUCGAUUCGUUUUCUGGUGGGUGAGGGGGGGGGCAAUAUUCUUUUGGUUCAAAAGUUAAACUUUUAACUAUUUUCCCGGUUACGUGGUCAGGGAUGACCCGGUAAGUAUGAAAUAUUCAGGGAAGAGGGUAGAUUCUUUUGAAUAAAAACCGUGAUUAUGAUUUGUUAAACACUGUGGAUACGGAUUUCCGAAAGAAAUUUUUAUUCGUGUGUAGUCCGAAGUCUAGGCGGCGGUCACGAUCUGGGGUGUCGCGGUUCGGUACUGAAAGGGUGUUAUUAUCAUUAUUCGCGAGGGGGCCGCAAAUUUGGUUUUCAAAAUCAAAAGACCCGCGGGCUAGCGGUUCGCGGGGACAACGGGAUUCGUCGUCGUCCCGGACGUUAAAAACGCGACGAGAUUUUUUUUUUCUUCUAACGUUUCUCCCGCCCACGUCAUUAUGUUACGAUUUCGUAACGAAAUCGUUUCGCGGACGACACGCGCGCCGCCGGAGUUUUCGGAUUUUCGACAAUGACGCGCGGUCGUAUACGACACUGCAUUAUUGUUAUUAUUAUUAUAUUAUUUGUGUAUAUAAACGGCUAAAAAAAAAAAAACCUAUAACGUUAUUAUAUUCCACGCGCGUUUUAUCGCCGCCGCGGCUGCACAAUAACACGCGGUGCCAGUAUUAAACAGUAACACAAUGACGGUCGCGUAUAAUUAUGGCGUGGGUGUAAGCAGAGUACACCGCUGAAAAAAAAAAAAAACGAAUAAACGUUACGGCCGCCGGCCGGCGAAAAUACGAAAAAAUUAUAUUUUUUACUACACGGUUGUUCCCGUUUGUGUAUUAAUAUUAUUAUUAUUAUUAUGAAACGUAAAAAAACAAAACGAAAUCUCGUCCGGGGGGAAACAAUACCGCGCGGCGGCGCGUUUCCGAUUGUUUUUUUUUUUUUUUAUAUAUUCUCUUCUAUUAUGUACAGUGUACAGUGACGACGACGGGCCACAAAAUAAUAUUAUAAACUACUAUGCGACGCACGAUAAACGCGCGGGGUGUUUUUUUUUUUCGUUUUAACGACGCGUUUAUUUUUGUAUUCCGUUUUUAAGCGCUUGUCAUUAGGUUUCGGUUCAUACAUACUACGCCUGCAGCUAUACGCGUAACGGCGAUAAUACGGGGUUUUUUUCGUUUUUAUUAUUAUUGUAAUUCGUGGGUGUACAUACGCGCGUGUACUUUUCGUUUUUAUUUUCGUUAUAAACAUAUAAAAACAGAAAAAAACAAAAAAAAAAAAAAGACAAAAAAAUGAUGACAUUUUCGCGUAGGUAGAUAGGUAUUAUUGUCGUAUACCUGGCCGUAAUAACGGCGGCGGCCGUGACGGACGCACGCGAUUGAGCCGAAACCGACGACACGGAUUAAUGGGCAGCCGGGCAACAGCAGCUGAUAUAAAAAAAAAAAAAAAAAAAAAAAAACAAAGGUUGUUUUGACUAUAUAUAUAAAUAUACGAGUACGUGUCCCGUGUGUGCGAAACGCAAUAAAUUUCCCAUUUAAAAACGAAGAGCUUAAAACGUUAAAAACGAAAAAAAAAAAAAAAAAAAAAAAUGGGAAGCGUUUUAUGGCAUUUUUUCCGCCUCCCCUCGAUCGUUCGCGGAAAUGGCUUUUUCGCGCCCGCGUUCCGCCGGACCUUUUAAAUGGGCCCGCCAUUACCACUCAGCUACAGGCAGGUGAUGGGCACCCGCGCGGGUGUAUAAUAUACUCGUACGGCGCGGUACUAUUAUAAUAAAUAAUUACGCCGUUCGGAAAUCUUAAAAGACUUUCGAACGCCCGGCCUUUACAAUACGACCGUGGAUUCCGCCGAUAUUCCAAUAGCGCGAUCAAUGCACGAGCGUAGGCGCGACGAGGUUUCUUUCUUUUUUUUUUUUUACAUACGGAGCCGACGAAAGUUUUUUUUGCAAACACAUUUUCUACCGGAAAGCUCACUCAGAUCGUGCAAUAAAGGAACUUUUCUGAAAGAAAAUGUACUCCGGGCGAUGCUUCACACGGGUAAUUUUUUUUGAAAUUCUCAUUAAUAUUCGAGAUUACGAGGAUAAUCUGGUUCUUUAGAUUAAAUAAGAUUGAAAGAUUAGAAACAAGUCUGCCGUUGAAAACCGUUUUUAAUCAGUUAUUGUUGUUGCCGUUGAGUUUUUAUUUUUUCAAUAUUUUAUAAACGAUCGUUGUUGUAAACGUUUUUGCCGUCAGAUGACAUGUACGUUGUAACACUAUCAACUCCGCUCAGAAACGUUUUUUUUUUUUCGUUAGCAACGGUUUAUUAUCCAUUAAAUUCCCGUCCGUGUCCUACCUCCCCAGCUUCACAUACACACACAUAACCGGCCACGUGCGAAGUAUGUCCGUCUUUUUUUGUCUCUUUAAAUAUUUUAAAUGUUUGCAAAAGCAGCGGUAAUGUGUUGCACGUUCUGUCACGCAGCAAAACGCCCCGCGAAACGACCGGCGCCGCCCGCAACAGUGGCCGCACCCGCGUGUGAAGCGCGUCCGUCCCUUUUACCCGCUUUUCUCACCGAAAACCGUUAUUAUCGGUUACGAAUAGGCGCGAACCGUUUGACGCGUCACCGCCAGAGUACACGCACCGUAGCCACCAGGACGACCCGACCGCCGAAACUAAUCCGGUGUCCGCGAUCGGGCGCGAGAAUCCUCUCGCCGAGCCACCGCGAGACACAAUGGUAUCCGGAGAGCCGAUUUCCGUCCCGAACACGGACAACGUUAACGGAAGUGCGCCGCCGGUACUCUGGAUAAACUGCGUUCCGUGAUACGCACGGUGUCCACGCCGUUGCGGCGGUCAAACGGUUUUAUCGCGGUGGACCGGUGACGACGAUUUGCCGGAACUGCUAUCGCAAUAAACGCCCUCGGCUUACCGACACCCAAUCGAUCGUUUCUACUUGCGCACGCGCUGAUUUGUUAAGCCGUUUAAAUAUGUUCAAUUCAAAACCGAUCGGUGGAACAUUCGCGCGAAAAAUGCCCGAACUAUUGUAGAAAACGUUCAGCGGGCCGGCCGCUCCAAUGCUAUCCGCAAGUCCUCCAGAUAAACGCCUACCGAAAACGCAUCGCGUUCCGCUGCGUUUUCUAUACACGCACAGAGAAAACCGAACGACAUCGUGAUUUUUGUUUUACACAUAAUUUAACGAAAUCCCGAACGAAAAUAUGCCGGCAAAAGACGUUUACGUGUCGGAUAAGUACCGCCGUACAAUAAAACACCGGCGUGGCCCGUGCUCCGGGAGUGUGUAAAGAAAACCACAGCUCUCUAUUACCCGUUAGAAUUCUCGAUAACGUAACGGUUACCAAACGGUUUUGAGAGUUUGGAAUGCGCGCGGACGAAUUAUCGGGGAACAGAUAAAACAGGAGAUCAAAGGCGCCACGGCGGAGUGAAUAAUGGACCGACCUCGACAUAAUAACGCGCGCGCUGCUCGGAUAAAGGCGAUGUAAACAUAUGCUGAUUACACCUACGAAUCUGACCGAUCGCCGUUGUAGCUCGAAGAGUGAGUUGAAAGAAAAGUUUAGCGUGACUGUGGAAAUUUCCCGAUUAGCGAAUGAAUGUUACCGGGAUUACAAUUACGGCCGAUUGGGACCGUCAUUUCUAACGUAACAGUGCGGUUAUUGAAAUAUGAUUGUUAACAUUGCGUCUUCGUUAUCGCUAAUAAAAACUAACGGACAGAAAAAAAACACCGAAAACCGACAAGCAGUAGACCGGAUGGAAAUAGCAGGCGCUGUCUCGUAAUCGCCAAUACUAAUCGAGUAUUAUUCCUGUCGGUGUUGAGUUCUGACAAUUUUUCCGGAGGGGGAGGGCGUCACUAAAAUCACAGUAACGGAACCUUUUUUUGUUUAUUUAAAAUUUUACUUAAUUAUUAACUGGAAACCUAACUGUUAAACUAUUAAUUUGUCCACACUUAACAGGGAGCUAAAAUUCCACGGUCGGCUGUCGCCCCCGUCAUAUACCUGGUUUCAACACUAAUUCCUUUAGCACGCCAGCAGAGUCGAUAAACUAUUAUCGUUUCUCGGUGACUGCUGCGACGGUGUAAAUUACAAAACAAAAAAAAAAAAAAGGAAGAACAGGCGGCAAAGAAUUUUGCCGUAUUUCAUCGCCACUUAUUGACGACGCCGACGGCGAUAAAAAUCAUAAACGGUCAAAACGGUUUCGUUUGAAGCGACUUAUAAAUCGAUUAAACAUUUCGAGUCAAACAAUUCCUCCGCUGUCCUUUAUCAUUCCGCCGUUGCCACUGCCGGACGCGACCUUGACUCCGGAACGGACACGAGCUUUUUUUUUUUCAUUUUGCCUUUUUUUUUUUUUUCUCGGUGUUGUUGCUCGUUAUUAUCACCGUCGGUGGUAUUGCCCCGUGUAUCGUACCCGUCAUAUAGGUACAAUAUUCGUGUAAAUAGUGCCCGAAGGAUGGGGGGGGGGAGCGACGGGCGGAGCGGCGGCAAUGUUGUCAAACUCGGCACGACAUCCGAACACGGGGAGAGAGAUGAUUGAUGAUCUUUAUAAUAUCGCGGGCGCAUAUAUUCGAGCAUAUCAUAUACACGGUCGCGCGUACGUACUUACGUUUACAUACAGGGUGAUUAUUUCGCGCGUAGCGAACCGGCGAAAACCCACAGCCGAGUCGAUUGGCGUUGACGGUGUUUCCGUCAGACCCGCGUGCGCGCGCAGUAAACCGUCCGAACGACACCGCGUUUACGAUAUUACCGCGUUUGGUAGGCCGUUUCGCUUUUUACAUAUUAAAACAACAAUAAUAUUCCGGUGUGAAAUCGCGGGGUUAAAAAGAGAAAAGGAAUAAACACGCUAACCGAAUGCUGCGGGAACGCGAUGCGAUUUUUCCGGCGCGACAUCGCGGUAACCGACUCGCGACGGCGAUUGGGUGUGGGGGGGGGAAACAAUAAUAAUCGAAUUUACCCGAAACGAUCGCCCUGUAUAUAUAUAUAUAUGUAUACAUAUAGUACGCGGUGUCGGGCUGUUGGGCGGCGUGUACAUAAAUUCUCGAUGAUGUGUGCGCGAUAUAUUCGCAUACACAUAGAAUAUCGAUCAUCUGCCACGGAGCGUCGCACUUAACCUAAAACGCCUUUCGCCAGACGGUUCCCUUCCUCGCUCGCGCCCGCCNNNNNNNNNNNNNNNNNNNNNNNNNNNNNNNNNNNNNNNNNNNNNNNNNNNNNNNNNNNNNNNNNNNNNNNNNNNNNNNNNNNNNNNNNNNNNNNNNNNNNNNNNNNNNNNNNNNNNNNNNNNNNNNNNNNNNNNNNCCCCCCCCACCCCCUCACGUCCCGUAACCGUCUAUCGCGACGACAAAGUCACGCCGCGCGUAUUAUAUUAGACACGCGCGCGCAUAAUGGGCAUCUACACUGUACGCACUUUUCGUACAGCGACCGGGGCGGGGGGUGGGGGACAAGGGUUGUUGCGCGGGAAGCUGUCGGCUUUUUCAAACAGUCUUCCCGUACAUAAACUCCGCACGGGAGACGCGGACACUCGGCGACGACGACACCGCCGCCGUGGACGUCGCGUUUCGGAUCGGUAAUCCUCCGUCGAAAAAGAUUUCCCAUCCCUCUCAUCACCGCCCCACCCUAAUCCCCUCUUUUCUCACCGUCCACUCGGCCGGCGAAUCGCGAUCCGCCGUCUCGGAUAAAAUAUUUACGUGGAUUUUAAAUAUUUCGCGGUAAACGCGCACGUGUCUACGCCUCGACCCGGGUCCGUCCUAGACAGGUAUACGCCGACGGAUUUUCGUUUUUCGAUCGGUUAUCAAUAUUUACUACUCGCACUAUUCCCGCGCGAAUACGUCGAAACGAUUCGACGUCACUACAGUUUUUCCCGCCGCCAAGGUUCGGCCGGAUGUCCGCUACCGAUUCUCAUCACGAUCGCGUCGCAUCGUACAUUAUUAACCAUUGAUAUUCCGGGCCGACGACGGUUUAUUCGUAUUGAUAAAUUCCCAUUUUUUUCCCGGGGGUUUUUCGUUAAAAUCGCCUUUUCAAAUACUUGUCGAUACAACACGAAUACAGCGUAUUUUCACAUCCGUGCAAGCAGUCGACGUAGGCGUAUCGAUAUUAUUUAUAAUUUAAUAAACAAAAAAAAACAACAACGGGUAUCCUCAUGGUUUAAGGUGUAUAACGACGCGAACGAUAAUACGGAGCAUUUUCGCUAACCGAAAAAGUUUUUCUCGAGAAAAAGCAUAGAUCUAUGGAUGGACAUCCAUACCACACUCUAAUGGUUUUUUAUUUCUUUUUUCUUUUUAUUUAGUCCCUUGUCGAACGAUUUUUUUCCUCCAAAUAACGGUUCCAACGAACAAGACUCGGCCUUAUCCGGCAGGAAGUAACGACUAACGAGUAUAAUAUUUCAUAAUAUACGGUUUCAAUGUAUUACUAUUAUUUUUGUUCAUCCUAGACACGUCCCGCCAGUCGCUUUGUUUUAUAGUAAUAAUACGUUGUGUUUCGUUAUGAUUAAACAUGAAAUCCGAAUUUCCGACCAAGAUUUUUUUUUUUUUUUGGUAUUCUGUAGUGUUAACAAUUAGCCGCAAAUUAGCGAAACGAUUGAUUUCCGGACGCGCAAAACCGCUUUUCGCUCUAUGUAUUUUGACAAAAAAAAAAAAAAACACCGCAUUUCCAGUUUGCUGAAUUCAGACGCUGUCGUCUGCAGGAUAUACAACACAUGAUAUAGCUACCUGAAAAAAAAACGCGUAUGUCGAAAGAUUACGGGUUUUCAGAUAUUGAGCGCAGAGAGGAAUAUAUAAUGCGGUUUUACGAUAGUGUAAUGGUAUAAGUGUUUUUUUUUUUUUUUUGUGCCUGUGAACUGAAUUUUUCUACCAUAAAUCUUACUCCAAUUUUCAAGUAUAAAGUUAUUUCUGAUAGAAAACUGUGUCUUGUUGGCGUAUUGGAAAAGUAAUUUUUCGUCGAUUUUCUUUUGUAGAUUUUUAAUAAUCGGGAAAACCGUAGGGAGACGGAAAUUUUUUACGAAAACGACGGUUUUUACCGUUUUUGAAUAUGGUUAAAAAUAAUCAUAAAGAUUCACGAAAUAUUUUAUAUUGGCCUUUUCUAGACGUGAUAACAUUUUCAAUACGUUCAAACGCAAACAUCGCGUUUUAUGAGCGAGAUUGGUUUUUUAACGAAAGUUUUUUCUCGAGGAAUCAAGGAAAGGGUUACUCUUGGUAUUUUCUUACGCGUUUACUCGAACGAUCGCAGAAACUUUUCCCUACCCCCGCAUUGCGACUCGUCUUCACUAUUGUGUUACGCGCUAUUAUUGCCGGCGAACAAUUCGUUUUUGAAUUCCACCAGACGUCAGAAAAAAAUAAAACCACGUUUAGUGAAACAUAAUAACACGACAACAAUUUCGUUAUGGAAAUUAACAUUUUAAUGAAAACCGAAAAUUGGUUUUGCGAGCGCGGUUUCAAAGCGAACGUCGAAACAUAGGCGUAUGUACUCGAAACACGCGUGUUUUACCAUUCCGUCAGAAGUCGAUUGCGAUGUAAAUUUUAAUUUACGGUAAAUUCGAUGUGGAAUUAAUUUCAGUACGCGUCUCGUAUAUUGCAAUUAGCGUAAUAUAUUUUGUUGCAGACCGGCGGCGGCGGUAGGCACCGAAACGUGAUUGUUACGGGAUUUCAAAAAAAAAAACCUGCACCCGCAGCAUCCGAUAUACAGCGGGGUUUAUUAAACGCGCAACUUAUUAAAAGUUGUUGGUUUUUCGAAUGUCCGCCGCGCGCGUGCAUCGCGUGUACAAUAACCAUUUUAUGAUUGCGAUUUUCGAAAAACCGAGAAGUUUCGCUAGUAGAAUUAUCGUCGACGAGUGGUGACGACGCGCUGUUUGUUAUAUUUCGUGACUUUGCUUUAACGUUAAUUUCACUUUGAAUGCGUUUAAUAAUUCGUGUAUUACAAUUCAGCGUCCUCGGCUGCGGCGGCGUUCCUCUCGUUCCAAAUAUAUUGUCCGCGGGACGUCUCAUUAUCGCGCGGCGAAACUGCGGGUCCGCUCUGUCCCCCGGAAUCUCGGCGGGAAUUUUAAAACGUUCUACGCUCGCGGAACCGAAUACGUCCUGAGAACAGUGCCCGAUUACACUGCACAAAACACUAAAGCCGUGUUGUUUUAUUUUGAAUCGCUAUUUAACGAAAACCAAAAUCCAAAAGCGGUGUCGCCUCCGAAAACCACGCCGACGCAGAACAACGGUAAUAUUACAUUCCGUUUUUUUUUUUUUCAUACAAUUUCUAUAACUAACGAAUUCCGGGGAAAGAAAAAAAAAAUAUACGGAAAAUAUGCGCGGGGCCACCGUUGUAGACGGACGGUUCGAAAGGUGAACGGGAACUUUAACGCGCAUCUGUGCGUAAUCAUUAACCGCCGCUAACGAAAAAACCGUUCUGAGCGGAGUUCGGUCGAUAAUGUCGCUCUGUCAACAAUAUAAUACAAUGCAUCCACAUAUCAUCGUGGUAAAAUAAAUAAUCGCGUAUGCGUUGUACAAUAUAUUCUUCGAUAAUAUCCGUUUGAUACCGUACCUAUUUUUCCGGAAAAACUCCUGAGAAUAUCCCGAAAACGACGUCUCUCAAGUACCGCCCCCGUGAGAUUUCCGUACCGCGGGCCGGCGGAGUGAUUUCGAAAAACGUGAAAUUACAUCGAGUUCUAGACGGCGGACGGGGACGCGCGGGCCGCACAACCGCGCGCGGCCAUUUCCGAUUCGCGCGCGCGGCGCGGCGAUAAUACGGGAGUUUAGGGGGCGCACAUUGUCGUUGUUGUACGGCCGCCGCGCGGCAAUCGGUGACCGGCGGUACGGGUACCCCCGGGUACCUAAUGGAUUGGACGACGGCCAAGUCCGCCGGGUUCGUUACGUUAUUGUUAUUAUUACCGUCACCGUUAGUUUGUCGGCGCGCGACGGGCCCGGGCGCAUAAGGCGGAACCGGCGCAAACUAAUAAAUUCAUUUGCGCGUGCCCCCUACUCCGCACCCCGCACCGUGCGUGGUAUGCGCGUAACGCACGCGUGCCUACUCGUUCCCGUCGGCGCGCGGCGACCCCGGUUUCCGGGACGUCGCGCGCCUACGCGAAACCCGCGGCCGCGUUCGACCGUCACCCGCGCGGACAUCGCGACGGUUUGUGUCCGGUCGGUCGCGUCGAGACGCGUUCGGCCGGAACGCAAAUCCUGUCGGUCCGGUGACGAGAGCCGGUGAAUCGGUGAUCCGGGACGACAAUUGUGCGCGGCCGGGUCGGGAGGAGUCUGCGCGAUAAAAAAAAAAAAAAUAAAUAACACGUACGCGCUCGAGGCGCCCGAUCGUUCGGGAUUGUCGGUUUUUUGUGUCGAUUGUCGUCACGCGUCGGUCUUUUCCAACGAUUUGUGCGUUUUGAACGCGUCCGACCGGUCGAUCGGCAAUCGCGAGUCCCGCGCGUCGCGUAGUCUGCGAUCGAUGUGCGUUAUCGGUCAACAAAUUUUCAUUCCCGUAUCGAAUAGAAAACCAUCAUUUCGACCGCGUUCCUUCGUAUUGUUCUUUCGGUUUCCCACCUCCCUCACCUCUCGUUUGAAUCGUCUGUCGCCAAAGCUACAAUUAUUGCAAUGCAAGUUUCUGUUACGUGCUGAACCGAAAACAUCCGAAAUAAGAGGACCCGAAACGAUAAUAAUAAGGUAACGGACCGAAGAACAGACUGCGGUAACCGGGUUCAACUUGAUUCAAAAGUCGGUUAGGAAAACCACAUUUUCCCGGCUAUCACGUGCCCACACAAUUGCGCGGACUCGAAACAAUAAUUAAUAAUGUAACGGACCGAAGAAACGAUUAAGGUUCCAAGACUCAAUUCAGAGGUAACCUAUAGUUAUUUAAACGGGGUUACCUAGUGUUUUGUAGUACUCACCGAUCGACGUACACCUAUAUGCUCACUUUUGUUUUUGAUCGAUUCAGUACAAAUUACCGUGGUCUUUUAAUACAAAAGCGUAGCAAAAUUCAAAAUUACCCACCUGAGUUGAACCGCAGCAGGAGGUACAGCAAUCAUUUAGCUAACGCAUCGGAGAUUGGAGGAGGCAUUUCUACGUUAGAACACCGCGCCGCACAAGGACCUAACAUUCCCUUGGCCGUCCGACUAGUAAAGCUAAUUACCAAAGGUCUCGCGGUACGUUUCAUGAUUUGAUACAGUAUGCGUCCAAGGAAGAACCUUGCGUAUACGACACGCCUUUAUAAGGGCUUUAUAUCCAAAGACGUUUGCAAUAGUACAACCUAAAAAAAAAAAAACCGCAGUAAUAAUAGUCGAGGUGAAAACGGGUAAUUUUCAGGAAAGUGGGUUACAAUAAUUAAUGAUUCUGUAUUUGGUAAUUGAGUUCCGUUUUUAAUUUCCCAGGUAAAUCAAGUCCCGUUUAAAAAAAAAAUAAUAAUAAUAAUAAUAAAAGUAAUUAAGUGGUGAAACGAGCACCGUCUUUUAAAAUUGAAUGAGGUAAGUCGAGUCGCAGAUAAAAAUCAAAUCUCCGGCUUAUUUGAAAUAUAAAAGGAAAUACCGCGAUGAGGCGGUCGGCUGGAACGUAUACAGGAGUAAAUUUAUUUAAAAAAUGUAGGACUCAAUUUACUGUUUUUCAAAAACGACACGUAUAUUGAACUACACGGUACUUGCUCAGUUUACUGUUGUGCUCUAACGGUUGUUUGCAUGUAUUAUUCUCGACAAUCUUUAAUCGGGCUAAAAUGUAAUGGAUUAGAAAAUGAAAUAAUAUUCGCGGUAUCGUCGUAUUAUGCAUAAUAAUGGUUUUUGGUGGAGGGCGUGUGAAAAAGUUUCGAGUGGUCGGUUAUUACAAAAAUACAGAGUCGAGAAGUUGUCCGUCUUUUGCCGGGCUUUCAGUUAAAACGAAAAGAGUGGGGGGGGAGGGAAAUGAAUUAACGUCGCCGAAAAAAACGAUAAAAAAGCGAGCCGAGGGAGGGAAAAAACAAAGAGGAGAGUGGGUUUUAACGAAGAAGAGCAGCGAAAAAAAAAACAAAAACCGAACGAGGGGAUUAUGUUGUCGUGAACGAAAAUAAAUAAUAAUAAUAAUAAUGCUAACAACGAUAUCAAAAACCCGAGGAGGCGCCGGGCCGGACUAAAAGAGUAUAAUAAUAAUAAUAAUAAUAUUUUUCCCCUCUUGUAUAAAAAUAUUUUUGUUAUUUAUUUAUUUACUUAUUUUUUGUUUUGACAAAUGGACAUCAGUCCGUCGGACCGUGCGCCGCGUUACGCGCGAUGAUGUCUUCACUCAUCAUAAUUCAAAACCAUCUGCUCGCCUCUAAUGGCUCGUUCUGGUGACGAGGAACGCCGCCGGUUUUGGCAUCGUAACCCGGCACUCCGUAGAGCUAGUAUACGCAUUUAAUGUGCAUAUAUAUGCACACCGACCCUGCACGUCACUUCGUCUCAACUCCCGCACGAGAGAUGCCCCACUUGACUUUAUACACUCGCCAUCCCUUGUCUGGGUCCCUUUCCCUAUCGGUCUUCGCCCGGGGAGGGAAAGUAAGUUUCGGCCAUCGUAUCCGCGCGAAUCCCACUGUACCAGCGGCAGUGGCGGUCUAUCGACCACCCCGAUACGACGGCGCGGCGACGACGACGUUUAGCGGAUGUUUUGAGUACCUACUUUACUAAAAUAACAUAGUGUUAUUUGAUUAUAUGAUUCGUUGAAAGUUUGUCGUUUUCAAGGAGAAACGAUAAUACGUUAUUAUCGGAUAGUGUCUAGCUGAGAUGCGUAUCAAGAAAUAUUCGAAAGACGAAAAAAAAAUAAAUAUUGUUUCUCUAGAAAUACGGGUGUCCCACCCAAUAAGAACGUUGAAAAAAAAAACGAGUCUAAAAAGACAAAACAAAACUACACGAUUUUGUACAAAAUGAAUUGUGAUUUUAAGUAUGAGAUAUUAUGCCGUUUAAAUUGUCCGAUUGCCCCUCUCUCUGGGACUGUUGACUUGUCCUAACGCCGUAGAAAGCUUGGCUGUAACUGCCUUACAGUUCUUCUUGACGAGAUUCCCGGCGACGUGAACUCUUCGAAUUUUUCAUUUUAAAUAAAGAAAUCUUCGACGACAGUUCAAGGCUUCGGUGUAAUCUUCGUAAACCCGAGAUUUCACGGUACCCCCAAAGGACGAAAUCACAUUACACGCGGUUGUCUGUUUUGAUCUGCCUGAUCAAGAAUCACUGUCGCAUUAUAGUAAAUAACGAAAAUGGCAAAAACAAUACAGUCAAUUGAAUAACGACGAAAACAGCAGUCAGUUUUUUUUUUUUAAAAAAAAAAGUCGUUCUUAUGCAAUUCGUUCCGGUCCAUCGCCAAACAUAAUAUGAAUAAUUUCUCGAUAAUGUGCAAUAAUAAUCGACUAAGACGUGUCUAGUAUUGUUUUUGAACAGCGGUUCCCGGCCUUUUUGACACUACGGACCAGUCGGACCAGACGUUAAAUAGGCCGCGGGCCACCUCGAUUUGCCGACAAUCUCCUUUACGGUUUAUUUCUUCGCAUCUACGGGACAAUAAUGACAUGCGUAAUACCACGCGAGAUGCUUUCCGUUACACGGACCACCGACACGGGUCGGACUCAACUGCAGUGUCGGAAUCCGCGAAAAUCGUAUGCUUGUUGAUUCGAUCGUUACGGGAACGGGUCGGUCCGAGAAAAGAACAACCCGUUGGACGGUAAUGAAAUCAAUAAAUGCGUACCGUUGAAACAAGUCGAUAUUACGUAAUAUCACACAGACCCCCCGGCUCCGUGAUGUCCGAUGUCAACUCGUACAUGACUGUACGCCGAUGUUUUUUUUUUUUCCCCUCUAAACAAACAGAAACCUUUUAGUGUUAUAUCAUAGUGUAUGCGUUAUACGACUAAUGCCGCGAACCGAUUAAGUGUUGUGUAUAGGUACCGUACAGGUACUUAAUGCGUGGCAUUGUCCGUCCAAUCGGGUCAACGGUUUUUAGAUUUAAAAAAAAAAUCAUACGAAAUUGACCGUCCGCCGAUUUAAACAAUUUGACUACAUUCGUACGAAGGGCCCGGUAAUGUAAAUUGGAUUUGCGUACUCGAUGGUAGGCACGGUAUAAACGCGUGACUGUAAGUGUACACUACGAUACACGAGUGUUUUAUAUGUAAUAAAAAACAAAGUCUCGACCGAGGACAUUAUGGGCACGAUCGACUACCAUAAUAGUACGAAUAUUUUAGACGGCUUCGGGGGUCCGUUCGUAUAUUAAUUAUUUGAAGCCGUAACGGUAUUUUAUUAUUAAUUUUAUACUCGACCGUAUUAUUCGCCUCGCUUAUUCUUAACGUCCCGAAGUCUCUAUCUUUACACUCGGCAACGAGACGGUAAAUAAUAAUAAAAAAAUAAAAAUAAAUAAAAUACGCGAAAUGCCGAAAAUUUACGAUUUCCAUUAAAAUUUGAACAUUAGACGCUCGUAUAAAAAUAAUAAAAAAAAAAAAAAAACCUACUGAAUAACGCUAAAAUUUUUCAAUUGAAUAGUUCAGCGCAACAACAAGGCGAGUCCAAAACGACUUUAUGAUGGUUUCCAGUAAACCGUUAAGUUACGUAAUUCGGUGCAUUAAUAACGCAAGUCCGUCUUCUAGGUACAGAGAAAAUAGUGAUGAGUAAUUGGUUCAAUCUAAUUCUUGGAAAAAAGAACGCAAGUCUCAGAGAUGGACGGUUGCUUUCAUCUUCUUAAAAAAUUCCCGAAAAGUAGACUGGUUUUAUUGUUGUACUGAACCUUUAAUUUUUUUUUUUAACCAAUAUUUUUUGAAUAUUAUUAAGUCAUUACGUUUAUCAAUUUUUUUUUUUCAAUGUAUACGCUUAACGCCUUUUUAAUUAAUUAUGUUAGGUUUAUUAUUGAAACAAAUAAUAUUGAAAAAAAAAAAACACCCAGAGUAAUGAAACGGUUCCCUUUUCGGUUUCCUCUACUUUUUAGCGAUCUAUCAGGAAAAUCAAAAAUAUAAACAUACCAUCUUAACGUUCCUACUACAGAUACAAAUUGCUAAUAGAAAAAAACUAAUCUGAAAUGUACGACACACUACUCGGCCGGUAGGUAUACGUUCAUUUUUCUCUGUUCAAAUAGCCAAUCUAUGCAAAUCAGCGUGUUUCGUAAUUUUUUCCAUAAAUGUUUUUAUUUAUAUUCUUUUACGGCCGAUUAUCUGUCCCUAAAACGCGUUUGUCGGGAAAUUGUUGUGCUUCAGCGGGUAACCGAACAAUUCCACGUUAUUUUCGCCAUACGUUGCGACCUCGGCUGUUCGGAAUAAAGAAAAUUGUGUUUUUACACGAAUGGAUGUCUGCCUGUCUGUCUCAUAAUUUCUCGGUAAAUAACUGUUUACUUAGUUAUUUAUUUCGAAUACACAACCGUUUACGCGUACUAUCGCGUUUUAAUUUCAUCACAAUUGAAAUAUUACAGUGUACAUAUUAAUAUUAAAAAAGAUACGGACAAACUUUGCACAACGGGUGGUCCAUUGUUGUAGGUGAGAAUUUGGGAAGAUAGAGAUAAGUAAAGAUAAAGAGGGGAAUUCAACGUUUAUUUGUACGCGCGGAUUAAUCUUUGAAAAACGAUUCUGAGCGGAGUUCGGUUACACGUGUUUUAAAUGGUCGUAAAAUUUACUAUUUGAAAAUAAUGCAUUUCGUGCUUUUUCCCGGGGUUUCUUCACAUUUAUUAAGACAACCCCUAAAAAAAAAAAAUCAAAAAAUGACCACCCGAAAAAGUACCACACCAGUCAAAUUUUUUUUCGGAAAAAUUGCUACAUUUUAAAAUGUGAGCGAAAUUGCCGGCAGAAAAGUCGUCCACAGAACAAAAAACAAAACAAAACAUAAACAUCAUUGUAAAACCGCCAAUGCGUUCAUCGUUCCGCUAAGAAUCUAAAAUUACAAUAGCUACGUAUUUCGAUUGUUUGGACGAACUAGGUGGUUCGGCGGUUGGACUAACAAAUCGAUUUAUAUUCGCUUACGUUCCAUUUCAUUAGUCGCGUAGUAUUUGUUCCAUCGUGUAUGUAAUUAUUGUUACUUGUCGGUGUAAGUCGUUACCCAUAGCGUGAGUUGUUCUAGUGUAAUAUUAUGACGAGGUGUGCAGUGGAAAUAUAAUCUAUUUAACAAAUCCGCGGACAGUAUCGAUGACGUCUGCUAAAUUCGUGUAUAAUACGACGGUAAAAAACUCGACAAUUUCAAACGGCUAUUAUAUAUUUUUCGAAAAUCACCAGUUAAUUUUCGUGCCAUUGCGAUUAUUUUAAACAAAUUUAAAUAAAUUUAGAAUUGAAAAAAAAAAACAAACAAAAAAUGUGCAACUGACCGAAAUAUUUGAAUUUUCCGGGGUCCGAGGGGUUUUCUCCAAUUGUUACAAAAAAGGACAAGGGCGAUAAUAAAAAGAAAAAGAAAAAAACCCUCCUAACAGUUUUACUUACUUCUAAAUCGAAUAUUUGAUCACGAACCGCUUUUGAUAUUCAUGGACAGAAUCUAACCGGAACAUUUCGUAUUGAAAAUUUGUACACAGACAAAAAAAAAAAAAAAAUAAAAAUAUUAAUAAUAUUAAUAAAGAGCCGAUGCCUACUGCUGUUGGGAUAGAAUUUGAUGUAAAUUCGAACACGCUGGAUUUCCAUUUAUACAAAAUAAUCUCGUCGCGACGUGGGAAAAAAAAGAAAACGAUUAGCCGCACGAUGUUCGCGUUUCGGAACCUUUUUUAAAUCGUAAAAACAUAAUACCGUGUGUUUUAUUGUGUAUAAAUCACGGGAAACGCCGCAAACCACAAUGCCGACGGAUUUUAUUUUUUUUCUGCUGUGUUCGCAUUAAACUUAGGUAGGUAUAUACUCGCGUACUUUCACCGGGUCUGAACAGAUAACCGCGACUUAGUUACCAAUACAGGUAGUUAAUGAUUCAGGGCGGCACUCGUGGUGCGCGGAGAGUGAAAAGCCACUCUUAUGUUGGUGCGGAUCGGUACUAAGUACAAUUGUUAUUAUUAAACAGCGUUUUAGCGGUUUUGUCAGCCGUCGCGAUCUUAAAUCCUCCGUGUGAUUACUAUUGGUUUGUGUAACGUCACAUCUGCUCGCGAAUAAUAAUACGGCACAUAGAUUGCUAAGUGAAUAUUAUUAUGACUUCGCGAAGUGCGUGGUGGGUUAAGCCUACAAACGUCGGCGUAUCACCGUUUCCGGUUUAGAUACCGUCCCCCAUUCCUUUUUCCUCUCCGAGGUUCAUCGAGUCGGUACUAUGUACAGAGUGAUUUCAUUUUUAUCACGGACCAACAAUGUUCUCGGCGGAUUUUAAGUGAAUUUGAUUUCCGUUUUGUUUUUAUUCGUUGUCGAAUCGAUUAGGCUUUAUACUUUUGAUUUUCCAACAGGAACCUCUCUUUUCGAAUAAAUAAAAUAUACUCAUUUAUGGUACACGGAAUACUGGUAAAAAAUUAAAAAUGGUUUCAAAAUAAAGCUUGACUAAUUCCACAAUGAUUAAAAAAAAUAAUAAUAAUAAAAAAAACGGAAAUCACAUUCACUUAAAAUCCUCCUAGAAACUCCUGAUUUACAGUAAAAAAAAAUUAUCUCUUUAGGCAUUUAAAGAUACACUCGGAUAUAAAAAUUGACGACGUUUAUGUAGACCGAUAAUUUAGUUACAUAUUAUGUGUGAGAGGCGGGAGGUUAUUGGUAUUUUUGCCAAUUGUGCCAUGCCAACAGUGUUGUUCGUGUUUUUGUACGUUUCGGCCUACUGUUUGUACUGUAUCUAGCCGUGGCUUCAAAUAAUGUAUAAUGCAUGCUUCACUUUUCAAAUUUAAAGAAAUGCUAUCUUUAUAUUUUCUUAUUACACUGUUGACAGUUAAUUUAAAAAGAAAUAUUUUUUUAAAAUAAACCUACUUUUUGUGCAAUGAACAGCUAAAUGAAUACAUGUUCUUGCAAAUUGAUUAAAAAGUGUUGUGGAAGGACUAAAAUUUUCCACGGCUUAAAUACAUUCCGGGGGUAUGCUGAAGCCCCUCAAAGUCCUUCCUAACGUUUUCCCGCAUGACUUAUUGUAUUUUAAUUUUCUCUCGGUUUAUUUUACAAUAUACUAUUAUAAUAUCAUAUUUCUCAACCGUAAUCGGUUUGAAUGUCGCCGGAUCGGAUGAAUAAUUUGCAGACUGUUUAUAUCGGUUUUUGCGAGCGAAAUACAAAUUCGUCGCCGUUGAUAUCGUCACUCGAAACUUUGCUGGUAAAGCGCUGUAACAAAUUGUGCUGCCAGCGUGGUAAUAGUUCGAGAGACAGAAAAAACCGAUUGCGUCGCGGGACGCUCGGCAAAAGUGAAACUUCGAGUAUCAUCAUUUCUGAAAGUUAUUUAGUGUGAAAUUCAGUAGGCGUGUUUGAAGAUAUUGAGCCGUGCGAUUCGUCCAUUUAAUUAAUUUCAUUGGAAGUAAGUGAAAGGACAAUAAAAUAAUAUCAAAACUGAUGUAAACCAUAACGAUUUGUACAUUGUUUUGUUAAAUCAUAUUAUAUUAUAAUUUCAAACAAUUACACAUUUAAUAUCACAACAAAUCCAUCUCUCGCGAUCGUACUUCAAUAGCGGCACGUAAAUAAUACAACGUUGUCGGUCGAUUCAAGCUCGAUGAAAUUGCGAUGCUGUGUUGUAAACGUUAUCGAUUUCGGAUUGCUUUGUCUCCAGGAAUUCGGCUACCGCCGUUCGCUCGAUUGCCCAUGUCGAAAUCCAAUCGAAAAUCACUCUCGGCGUGUUGCGCACGCAAAAACGCGAAACAUAAGUUCUGCGAUCGUCGGUAUCGAACCCGACAACAAUGGUUCGCGAGUGUCGGUACGCCGGCGCCGGAAUCGACGAUCCGAAAACGAUUCGACGCCCCAACUACAAAUAAGCAAAUACGACUGGAAAUGUCCGCGCGCGCUGUUCAAAUAGGCCAAUCACGAACGGAGAACGGUUCGCAGGUGUUGAAACCGAUCCCGAAAUGUUAAAUAUUUUUCCAGCGUUUUACAGUACGCACCCAACCGUAACAACGGGGAAUUUUCGUUCAGGACACGACGGGAAUUGACGAUAACCGUACUAAUGGCAGUACGGUAUUUAAUCGCGGUGACGAAAACGGCGAUAGUUUUUCCUCUUUUUCGGGACCCGCUCGAUUAAAACAGCCACGCGUCAAUAAUAUUAUUAUUAUGCGCCGCCGCCGCCGCCGUUUUCGAAUUUUCUCGUCUUCCCGGUCGUUUGGAGUCGUUUCAAAAACAAUAAUAAUUCCGAUGACGUUAUUACACUAUGAUAAUAUUAAUAUACCGCGUAAUACGGAAACGGCGGGGCGCGCCCGUCGUCAUCACUUCGAAUCGAUCGGCGCUAUAAUGUGUCGGGCGCAUAGAUUAUAAUAUAAUGCGAGUAUAUGGAAAAAUGUAAUUUCGCGUUGUGAGCCAACGGGAGCGAAUAAAAAAAAAUAAAAAAAAAAAAAAAAACAUAUAGCAAACGAGGUCGAUUCAAUAUUGGUUUCCGUUCAUGAGAGGCGGCGGUGAUUUUUUUUUUAGCCGAUUAUACAGUACGCAUUAUAUGGUAUUAUAAUGUACAAUAUGUAAAAUGUUCUUCGUCGUAUUAUAUGCUUCUGUUAGAGUUUCGGGUUGACAACCCGAAUGGAACCAUUCCAAUGGUGGUAUUCGUCGACCUGCAGUGCAUAUACGUGGCGAAACAGAUUACGAAGGCGACGACGUGCCCAGAGGGGGGGGGGAGAUAAGGGAAAUUUCCUACUGGCCGUGUUAAAUGAAAAAAAAAAAAAAAAAACAAUCAUACAAUCUAUUCAUUAUAUGCAUUGAAAACUUAAUACUAAUACAAUAAUAGUCGUUGCAUGUUUCGACCGAGUACAAAUAAUUGUAUUAAUUACUAUGGAUUUCGCUAACUAGUUUUUUUUAGCUUAACCUCUCCCUACUCAUUGAACAUCCUGAAUACGCUACUGCACGUAGGCAUUUGGAAAUAUCGUAUCCUAUAUAGGACUCGUAUUUAAAUGGAUUAAAAAAGGCCACUCAAAAAAUGAGCAAAGAACGAAAAAUGCACAGAAUACGAAAUGCAAAUGGUCCCUUUUUAGAUGUCCGUUAAAAUUAUCUAGUUAAUUUAAUGCCUUAUGCCUUUAUAUCAGCGGAAAAAAAAAUGCAAACUUUAAAACAAUAGAACAAUGAUUCUUAAUAUUCAUACAAUGUGACGAACAUUAUGAAAAUACAAUUUUUCGAGGUAACGUUUGGAUACAUGAAAAACUAAUGAAAUAUUUUUGAAAAAACUUUGGAAACAAUAGUGGAAAUGAGGCGAAAAUACAAAUUUCACUUUUGAAAACUUAUCUGCAGUCACGCGAACCUAAUAACGAAAUUCUGAUUAUUAACAACGAUCGCGUCUUAAUGUCUUUAAUAAUAAACGACGCGAACGAAAUAAUAUUCUAUCGAACCGCAUUGUUUACACGAGGAGGGAGUGGUGAGUUUUUGUCAAGCCCCAAAGAUAAUUAAGGGCGGGCUGAAAAAUUUAAAUUUCGCAAAUAUAAGACAAUGAUUUAUACGCACAAGUCCCACUUUUUUCCCCUUCCUAUUGAUAUGCAUAGGUAAAUGGGAAAAUAUUCGCAGAUCAAUAGGGUGAGCCCAAAACCACCAGCGGUAUAGCUGACAAAUAAAAUUUCGUUGCGAUUCCAGUACAUUCUAUAGACGUGUUCGGUCGAACUUCACCGCGCCUCGGCGGGCUCGUGGAUACAAGUGCGUUUCAGGCGGUGGUCGCCUUAAACUUGUUAAUAUAAUUAUUGUAUCUAAAAAUGUAGUCGCCGGCUAUAAUAAUAUUGUUGUUACCAUAACAGCCCGAACGCGCCGAACUUAAAGCUUCUUUGCAGACGUUACGCGAGCUUACAAAAUCCCCUGACAAAUUUACCGUCACGUCGUGCACACACGCGCGUACCCCGUAAAACGAUUAUAUUUAUAUACGAGAUUUUACAUUUAAUAAUAUAUUUUAUAAUACAGUGCUGUGUGUGCGCGCUAUACAAGAGACGUUGUUAUUAUUGAACGUUGAAAACCUCUUUCAUAUAUUCAAAGUACCCACCUAUAUGUACGUAAUAAUAAUAAUAAUAAUAAUACAUUUAAAAAUGUACAGUUUAAUAUUAUACAAUAUUAUAUUCGUGUAUUAUAAAUGUGCGUGGGAUAUUUUAAGAGGGAUUAUUACGUAAAAGAAAAAAAAAAAAAGAAAAAAAAAAGCGCAUUAUUUUUUUUUUCCCCCUUUGUGAAAAAUUCCAUACGCGGGACACAUUAUAACACGGGUAAAAAUCGUAUUUGCACUAUAAUUAUUGUAAUUUUAUAUUUGUAUUAUAUUAUUAUGUUGCCUAUUUAUGUUUUUUUUCGCCCGGACGUAUUAUUUUAUAAACGCAUUAAUACUGUUGAAUAACGGACGGACACACUGCACCGCCGCGCCGGGUCGGGCCACUGCUGUGGCCGAGCGGUUGGGAAGAUAGGAUACGGAGAGGAAUUUGAUUUGCAUCUAUACGCAACGGUAAACGAUACUGAGCGGAGCUCGGCAAUAUAGUAUUGAUUUUUCAACGAUGUGCGGUUUGCACGACAAUAACGUGUUGUUUAAAAAAGAUUAAAAGAUUAAUUUAAUAAAAACUUAAUAAUCACGAAUGAUAAAUAAAAACUGUUGUCAAUGACAACGUUAUAUUCAAUCUUUUAAUCUAUUGUUUAACCCGACGAACCGGUUUUCCCGCGUCAUUUCGAAUGUUAAUGAGAAUUUCAAUAAAUAAACAUUUAAAAAACCAAUUAGAGCCAAAAUGCAAGAGAAAAGUUCUCUUUUCAUGUUUUGAUUGGAGUAAGAUUUCUCGGAGAAAUGUUGUACUCAAUAUAAAAAUAAUAAAAAUAAAUACAAAAAUAAACAUCAUUACAAAACCAAUAAAUUCCUCGUUUCGUUCAACCUAAAUUUUUUUAAAUUAUCCUGUUAUUAUAUUGUUGAUAUAUAUAUUACCUGUAUUGUACCUAUCUGAAAACUUUUUUUAUUAUUUUUCUGGUUUACGCUGAUUACCGUCUUCUUUGUAUUAUACUACGCAAUAAACUACUCCACGAGAUUAUUAUCAAUAAAACGUAUACUUUUAGCCUUUAGGUACCUACAUUAUAACGGUAUAGUGUCUGCAUCUAUCUUUUUCGUAUUUAUUCUUUCUUUGUUAACGGCGAAAAUAAUCCAUUUUUUAUGUUUAUUGCGUACGAUAUAAUUGACUUUUUUUUUUUUUAUCACGAAUACUAUUAAAUUUAUAGUAUUUGCUAAUCUCGAAGAAAAAAAAAACAACAGAGUAAAUACUUCGAGACAUUUCAGUAUACAUAAAUGCUCGUAACCGUUAUAUUAUAAGGGCUGUUGUAUUAAUAAUAGGGCGACCGAGUAAAUGAUCAUCUCCUAAUAGGCCUCGACUAUAUAAAUUCGUAUACGACGUUUAAUGGUACAGGUAAUAUUAUACUUAAAGCCGAAAAACAUUUUUCUUUGUUAACGUUUUAUACAACAUGAGUGUUGGAUAUAUUUAUGGAUGUCGUUAUUUGAAAAAAAAUGACUCUAGGACAACGCGGUUUCUGCAAUCUUACCGUGCAAGCAUGGCACUAAUAUCAUUUGAAGGAAUUUGGAAAUUUCGGACGUUAGCGUUAUUCGGAGUUGGCGAAUCAUAUACUAACAUGUUUACUCUGUCAAAACCAUUUUAUCCAUACUGUGCCAUUGUUGUAUGUGAGAUUUUGGGAAAGUAAAAUACGUAAAGUUAUUAAGUUUAUAUUUGUACACAACGAAAACCAUGGCUAAUAGAAACAAAUUCUGAUCGAAGUUCGGUUAUUUAUGUUUUGAAAUGGCGUGAAUUUACUACUAAACUAGCUAAUAAAAUCAAAAAAAAAAUCUACUAGAAACAUUAUAAUAUAACUUUGUAUUUUAUACUACUAAGUAUAAUUAAAUAAUGAAACUCGUGUUAUAUUUUCAAGCAUUUCUAUUCAGACAACACAAUUAUAUCCACAUAUUUUUUUUUUUUUUUUUUUAAUUUAAUAAAAAGUAGAAAAUACCAAAUGCCUAGUAUAAUAAAUAGUUUUUAAAAAAAUUGUAUUUUUAAAAAUGUUACCGUGCCUAGAAAAAUCUAAUACAAGCAGUGCGUAAUCAUUUCAGGUCUAUAUUGUUGUCUCUAGCCAAAGCACUGCAAACGAAAAAAAAAAAAAAAAAUCGAAAAUAAUGAAAUCGGUAUUAUCGUAAACAUCCCUGUGUUCAAUAGGUUUUUUCCGGGUGUUCCUAGUCAUUAGGAAAACUAGGAGUGAAAUCAAAGACGGCCGGUUCCAAUGCACCAACUGAAUUCCAUUUGUUUUCAGGAAAGUCGUUAGGCACACUUGAAAAUCGAAAGCAAAUAUCCGGUAGAGGAGUUGUUCACAGCUCCGCGGAAGAAAAAAAAAAACCGCUCAAAAUCUUAAAUGCACAUUAGUCUAACGAAAAUACCAAUUUACAAUGCAUACGCGGAAACGGAUUUUUUCGAGAGGCAAACCGAAUAACGAAACCUUUUAUUUAAACAACAUAAUCCGUUCUACGACAAAUGGAAUUAUCAUAAGCCCGAGUAUUGUUUUCCUUUCUUGAAACGCUCGUGUUCCCCUUCCGAUAUUCCGUAGCGGGUGUACACUAAUAAGCACGUGCACUUCGAUAAAUUUUAAUUAAAACCAAUAACGUCGUUACAGUGCUCUUGUGUUCCGAUGCGCGGGCCCGUAUGACGAACCGCGCGCUCCGGAAGAUCCCGUAGAGUUACUGCGCGAGUCGCGGCAUUGGUUUUGUAUUAUUAUUGCACUUGUUAUGUACACGCGUGUAUAUUUAUGUAGCCAUAUCGUUUUUGUUUCGAGGUAUAAAAUUGUCGGGCCCGUGUGUAUCCGUUUAACGUCGUCGUAAGCUCGCUGAGGAAAAAAAAAAAAAAAAAUUGAAAAAAAAUCAUAUUUCGUACUCGCGAACAAUGACGAAAACGCGACGAACGAAUUAUACGAAUAGACAGUAGUCUGAAGAACGUGUUAUCGAUAGGGCCGGGAUUCCGAUGCACUUUUCGUUUUUUUUUUCCAAAGGUCGCUGCGCAACGCUCGUCCGGUCACGAAUCCUACACCGAUGGUUUUUUCUACGAAUUUACCAAAUUAUAAACGGGAUUUUUUUCGGACAUUAUAAUCCCGCUCGCGAAGUCCGGAUACCUAUAUCACUAUAAGAAUACUGUUAAUUGAAAACAAAUACCGUCCUACCAUUCGGAUAAAUAAUACACGUAAACGAAAUAACAUCCUAUAUCGGUUGGAAAUAAUUGUUCACGGUUUGUUUCGUUCAAAUUCAAUAUCCACGGACCCGUAGGUCACACGAUAACGUUUUAACACCGAACUCCACUUAACGACCGCCGCUUGUAUCUGCUCUUGAAAUCUGUAUACAAAUUUGUUGUAUGGUAUUAUUGAUUGUUCAAAAUUAUUAUCAUUAAUUCGUUUCGGAUUGAAUAAUGUUAAUACUAAUACGCUCCUUGCCUUUUUAUACGAUUUUCUCUAACGAAAAAAUAUAUUUUAAAUUACCCCGCUGACAUUUGAACAGGUUUAGUUCAGGUAGUACCUUUAGAUUUGAUUAUGUUUAAUACUGUUUUAAUGUAACUUCUUAUAAUUUUAUAUUAUAUACUGUCUAUAAUCUAUUAGAUAAGAUUUUAUUAUGAUUAUUAUUUUUUAAUAUUUUUGCUCUGUAUUUUCUUUUCUUUACUUUUUAAUUUAUGAAAAAAAAAAAAAAAAAAAAAAGUUACAUUUAAGUAUUGUAUACUAAUGUAAACUGUACCUUGUACCAUAAUAAAUUUAUAUCAUGCUAUGUUUAGGACACUAGUCGGUAAAAAAAAAAUAUACAUAUAUAUAUAUAUAAAUAAAAAAUAAUUAAUAAGAAGACGUCGUACGUAGGAUAACAAAUUUUCGCCCGAGCGUGUGAAAUAUGACGGUUUGAAAAUGGUUUAUAUCUCGCUUACAAAUUUAAAUAACGAUAAAAAAAAAAAAAAACGGCGAUACGACACGGAAAAUAUUCUUAUUUUUGAGUUCGAUGUAGGCACGUUAUCCUCUCUAAACACGAGAUAAAAAUAUUGUCUUAUACUAUAAUGUAAUAUGCUAUAAUGCGUAUUAUGUUUUUUAAAACAUUUGGGGGGGAGGGGUGGUAUCAUCUUUUAAAAUUUUUUACGACUGUGUUUUGCUACCCUAUAAUCUAACCUAACGUAUACAUAGGCGUAUUUAAGACUUUUUUUUUUACCCGACAAUAUUUUUCCUUGAAUUUAUCAUAGACUGAUUAUAAACGCACGGUGUGCUUCUCCCCUACACAUUCAUCAAAAUUAGGAGUGGUUUAACACGCACGAUCCCCGCCCACCUCUAAAUGCGCUACCGGUUAGGAUCAUCAUUUUAAAGCGUUAUACGACUGCAGCGUAGGUAGAGGAAGAAACGAUAAAUAAUUUCACAGUGAAUACAAUUAUUUCAAUUUUAUUCCCGCGAAAACCCUUUAACGGAAUUAAAAUAAUAUUAUGUAUAUUGAACGGAACUCCGUCGGGGUUGUCGUUCGUGCAGCAGUAUAAUAUUAUUAUAAUAAGAGGCGUCGUGUGGAAGUCUCCGCAGCAGUAGGACCCGACGAAUAUAUAUUCUAUUAAAAAGUUGAACGUAUUAAAAAGCUAAAAAGUCCUAUGUAUAGGAGGUAUACGCACCGAAAACUUUCUUAAUUUAUUGACGCUGAUGGAGGAGUCAUUUUCUCUACAAAGAUCAAUAAGUAUACGAGGUAUGUAUUCCACCUACCUACCUGUCUACUAUUAUAAUAUGCGUAGUGUGCGUUCUCCAAAGCUUUGCAGUUUCGAAAUAAUAAUAAUAAAGUAAGUCGUUUAUUGAACGACAUCGUUGGUUCAUUUCUGUUCCGUUGCAGUUAGCGCUUCAAAAGUUAUUCUAGGAAUUUGUAUUUAAUUAACACCUGAAUAAUCAAUAACCUUCCGAGCCAUCGUAUUACCAUUUCGUUCGAUUUAAUCGCGGAUAUUCGUUCGAUACUUAUAGAUGCGUCACGUUCACGCUCAUAUAUCAUUUCGAGUACGGAUUUUAUAAAGUGAAAAAACAAAAAAAAAAAAAACAAAACCAACGAAAAAUCUCUAAAAAUGCUUUUCAAAAUAACUACCUCGGACAAGAUCGGUUGACGGUUUUCACGAGAAAUGAAAAAAAAAAAGUUACCUACCUACGUACUAUAAUAAUACGACGGUACUAUUGCACGGAUAUGAAACUGAAUCGUUGCAGAGGAAAAUGAACGAAAAACAUUUUUGAUGGUGUUCGAAAGAGAAAAUAUUGCCGAAUAUACUGCGGGAUCAGUAAAGGAUAACGUAACCACGUGCGGGGAUUGGAGACAAAGGAAAAAUAGACAGCGCUACAGUGGUUAAUAUUUGGAGAAAAUAAUGUUUUUAAGAUCAUAAAAAAAAAAAAUAAAAAAUGUAAAGACCACGAUUGGCUGUACAGGUAUAUACAUACAUAUAUAUAGGUAUGCUCGGAUAAGCUCAAAUCCACUAUACGGUAUAUACAGGCAGUGCUGGACCAGAAUCCAAUAUAGGGGAAAGGCAUUUGGGAGAGCAGAGCAUGCGGUUAGAAAAAGUGUAAAAACAAAAGCGGGAAGUUUCAGAACCAAAUAUCGGCGAUGAAUAAAUAUAGUUAGAAAAUUUUUUGUGAGACUGGGUGGUCAUUUAUCCAUGGUUAAACAAUUGGACAUGAUGGCCAUCACAGCAUUUUCAAAUCUAUUGUUGACUGCGCAUUUUAUACACAUCAAUGUAAAUAUUCCACGGGAAGAAAAUUCACAAGUCAGUGAAUUUAAUCACCGGAGCGUAUAUCCGAACCUCAACUGAGUUUUAGCACGAGUGUAUUUAGUUAGGGUCCGUGGUGCCUCGUCUGUACUCCGUACCCUAACCGUUUUGGGGCGAAUUAUUACGGCAAAUAUAAAUCAAAAACACACCGGUUCUAUGUAUUCUACAAAUACCUGUAAACACCACCCGUUAACCUAACCUAUAUUUUAUUGAAAACAAUCGGUUCUUUACAAUAAACUGAAUUAAUUGUUUAUUUCCAAUAAAUUGUAAUCAAUAUCAACAGUAGGAUUAUGGCGCAGUUCAAAUACCGAUAUUGGGCCAAUACUCGGCGUUGAAGUAUCGUUUUUUACAGCCACACUUACAACCUAACCUAACCUAACUUCUAAGCACUGGACGUCUCGCGCCCGUAAUAUUAAUUCUUCGCGCACAUUGUAGAAGAAACGUAUAUUCGUAGCCGUCUGAUGGGAUGGUCACCGGAAACGCUGCCACCGGCACUCAAUUUUCGCGACUCCGACUAAUUAUGUUUUUAUAUAGCGUAUAAAGAAAAAAAAACCACAUUUUACAAUUUAUUUCGUUUUAAAAAAUGGAUCGCGUUCAAUAAACAACAGUGGCGAAGCAGAAGAUAUCCGUAGGAAAUAUCGAACCGUUACGCGUCCGAUUUUUACCGUGUACGAUAAUUUGCCCGCGGGUUCGGCCGGGGCACAGGGUACGGUGCACUGCGGACCAGGCAACACGGACCCUGGCCGGACGCGGGCACCCGCGUCCCAACACGGUCAGGGCAGCGGGCAGUGGGCAGUGGGAAUACGCGCCGCCGGGUUUUCCGGCCGGCCGUAAAAACGUAAUAAACCGAAUACGUAACUGAUAAAAUCACGGCCCGCGGUCGUGUCUAUAGUUGUUUUUAGCCGCGGUCUCCGAUGCAGGCCGAAUAAAUCCCGACAACGCUAACAGGGUAGCGGGGCAUAAUUCGUCUCGUGCUCUAUGUUUACGUGUCGUACACACAUUAUAUACGACCGUGUAGAGUUUUCCGUCCCUUAUUCCGUUAUUUGUAACUGCGGUGUUUUGCUCUGCGGCAGUGUUUAUUGCGGUCUAUAAAUAAUAUUUAUUAAUAUUGUAUGUGUAUACGCGCGUGCGCGUGUGUGUGUGGUAUUUUUUUUUUUUUUUGUCGUCACAUUUUUUCGACACGGCACCGCUGACGGUUACCGCACACCGGCACCUACCGUGCGAGAGGUUCAAGUUUUAUAAAGAAAACAAGGCAAGUGUUUAUGUUUUAUUUAUCGUUUUAUUUUUCCCAAAACUCUUUUAUACAAUAUAUUAUAAAAUAUUUUCUGCUCCGGGUCGUCUCUCGGAUCAACCAAUGCGCCUCGCAAAAAUAAAAAAAAAAAAAAUACAUUUUAUUUUUCAUUCUUUAUAAACUUUUCAGACGAUUAUGAUAAUAAACGCGGAUAUCAAACGCCCGCGGUUUAGAUAUCGGGUUUUUUUUUACUUUGUUCAGUGCGGUUGUUUAACCUCGCAUCAUUUAAUUUGCGAAACGAAUAUAAUAUUUAUUGUAUAAAAAAAUCUACACUUAACGUAAUAUAGACUUACAGCAAAAGAAGAUUUACCAUCUCGUUUUUGUCGGCGAUUGAUUUAAUAACGGCAAAUCGUACAGCGGCGAUUUGCCCGGACUUAUGCAAUUUAAUAAAACGUCGCGAUUGUAUUUUAAUGGGAUACAUUUUCCCCGGCGGUUGUCUCGAGUGUUUAGAAAAACCAUAACCGGAAAUGUGAGAUUUGAAAAAUAUCGAUAGAACGAAACAUAUCGAAUUCGAAUCGCUGAACAAGAGAAAAAAAAAUUAAAUAAAAACUAUUGAUUACAUAUCACGGCGAACCUCGUGUUACAUUUUCUAGUGUUUUCUCUGAACCGAUAAAUAAUUGUACCCGCAUGAAAUCGAAUAAAAAAAAAGAAGAUUAAAACCUAAACGAUUUUAAACGAUUAUAAAUAGCACAACAAUCGCCAGAAUGUUUUUAAAACCGUGCCGUGUUUAGAAAAAGUGAUACUCGGCGAAAAUUUCACGGCAGUGAACGACAGUUUCCGGAUUGUUUUCUCUAAUUGUGAAGAAAACCACAAGGAGAAUGAAAAUAAAAUAUCACAUCCCCUCACGCACCGACUAGAAAACAUUUUAUACCGUCAAUCGUUUCCUGACUUUAUAGCGGUACCGAGAUUUCUGGUAGAAAAGUUGUCGAUAGACCGACGAAAAAAGAUAAAAAAAAAAACACCCAAAUACACACACAUGCUCGUAGUAAAAUCAUUUAAUAUAUAUUCCUCGUUCAGAAUCUAAAACUAAAGUUACCGAUUCGGUUAGUAAUAAUAAAGCUGAUGCGCUCGUAGUGCGCUGUUCGCAUUAUUAGAUCCGCGAAAUAAAAACGAUUUUAGUCGUAACCUCUUAAAUUUCCCGACGAGUUUCAAAACGAUAUCCACUUAGGACGGCGUGUCGAUAAAAACCAAACGUUCGAAAUCUACUGCGAAAACAUCAGCUCCAAUCUCGUCUCGGUCGACUGUAUGGCACUUCGUCGGCGCCGAUUUCCUCGGCAAUUUUAUCGAACACCAUAAUAUUUUCUCUCGUCUGUCGAACACUCGUGUAAUACGGACGCAGUCGGAAUACAUUUCGUAUAUAUAUAUAUAUAAAUAUCCGUCCUUAUCGAGGUCUCCUCGUGAGCAGCUCGCACGCGCGCCCCGUCAUCUCAUUAGGUUUUUAAAUUUAAAUAGUUUGCUUGUUCCUCUCCAACACCCCUCCUAAACGGAAAGGAACGGGGAGGGGGUGCGGGAAAAAAAAUCGUUUUAUUUUUACGGCUUGUAUAAAAAUUCGAUUUGAUAAAAUGGCCUGAGAGAGUACCCGUACGGGUGUACGUAUGACACUCGUGUAUACUCGCGCGCGAAACGUUCGAUUGUAAAAAAAAUCGUCAAAACUCCCCGGAGCCGAUUUCCCGGGACUUACAGGUACAGACAAUAUAGGUAUAGGUUAUAUACGGACCGAUCGUUUACAGCGGAGAAUCGCUUUGGAUACCUAAACCGCGACCGCGAAUGUCCGCCGCGGCUUAACUGCAGUAUAUUUUAUCGAGUGAUGCAGUUUCGAUGAUAAUAAUAAUAAUAAUAAUAACAAUAGAUCCGCGAUGAAUAAUUCAUACUAAAUUCCGACGACCCGAAUAUAAAUUUCUAUUCGACGAUGACCGCGUAGUCGACGUCGGCAUCGGUUCAAACUACUACACUAUUAUAUAUGUAUACUUACUGCGGUUAACGGGUAAAGUCAAACUUCUCCUAGCGAUAUUUUACCCGUAAUUUAAUAUUAACUCGUAUUCGAAUAUUAUUAUCGUUUUCGGGUAUCUCUAAUGAUAUAAUCGUUUGUUGUCGUUAGUUAUAAUUAAAGCACGGAUUGGUAUGCACCCGAAAUCCGUAAUAAAGCGGGUGAAAUCGACGAAAAUGCCCGGAAAAUAUCACUUGAAAAUAUUAGAAAAAACCAUAAGUGAUGGAGGGGUUUGAAAAUCCCCCUCCUCUAUUACAGUUUUUACUCUGUUAAAUAAAAUUGUCAAACACAAAAGAAAAAAAAAUAAUACGUUUAACACAAAGUAUUUUUAUUUUAUAAUUUUUUAUAAUAGUUAAGUGACAUUUUAUUUAAAAAUAAAUUGUUCUGUUUAUUAUUUUUGUAGUUUUAGAAAAUUAAUUUUGUACUAAGUUAAAGGGGUGAGAUGGUAGGGACCCUUAAACUCUUCUGCCACUUUUACUUUUUCAAAUAUUUUUUUAAAUUUUUUUUUGUGAACUUUAAGUGCAUAUAAAUCCGUUUCCUAGUCAUAAUAUUAAUCAGUAUUUUACUUUCGCUGACCAUAUACGACGAUACUCCGUUGCAUUUGCAGUCCAACUGUUGAAAAUUGAGAAUACCAAACGAGAACGAACAAGGCAAUCUAUCAGCUAUUUCAAAAACCACGCAUUAAAAGUGAUUAAUCAGAAGCAAACGUAUAGAAUGGACAGGCCACAUGUGAAGAGUUAGUGGUACCAAUCUUAAAAUAUGUAAUGAUAGUUAAAAUCAACGGUAAAUAAUCCAGAGGCCAUCUUAAAGAAAUAUGGACGGACAUAUAUUGAAAGUAGACCUUGAAAAGGUUACGCAAAGUACAGAUCUGGAGUUGAGUGAGAAUAAGGAAAGACGGCGGGAAAUAGUCGAAGCAGUGAAGGUGGCCGAAUGAGCUAUAAACGCUACAAGAAAAAAAAAGAUGGUAAUGUAUACGAGCGAGUUGUUCGAUUGUUUCUGGACUACCUUUGUACCGAUUUGUCGUUGUCCACUAAUAAGACGUAGUUCCUCAUCUCUAGGUUAUCGAAUUCCAAACGAUUAAAAAGCCGGAACCGUCGAUUAUUGAUCUGUUAGGUCCAGUAUAAAGACCGCCGUAUAGACUAGUGCUGUUCGGUUAUACCGGUUUUUUUUUAUUUAACCGGUUAACCGAACAGGUUUUGACCGGUUUGACCGCCAUUGGUUUCCUCGUCUUGGUCGAAUCCGGUAAUUUCGGUUAAAUCAAACAAAACGGUUAAACUAGUUUCACUAACUUUGCCUUAAUUUGACUCAAUUGACUUGAUUCGGUCUUAAUCAAAUUCAAAUAAAUUUUACUCAAUUAAAAAUUUUACACUCUCUUCCCAAACGGAAACUAUUAAAAAUGUAAUCGAUUUCGUUCUAACCAAACUAAUCGAAAUCGGUUGAAACCAAAAUCGAAUGAUUCGGUCAAAACCGAAAUAACCGAAAUUGGAAAAAUUCUGCUGAAACCGGUCAAGAUUGAACUCGAUCAAGCGGUCUUCGAACUUACUGACCGAACUGCACUAUAAUAGACCUCGCUUAUAAGUCUCCUUUUACAUGAUGCCCGUGAGCAGUAUCGAAUUUUCAUUCGUAUACAUAUACACAUAAUAUUAUCAUAAUUUUUUUAAAUUUUUUUUUUUAAUAGAAAAAUUACAUCUCUCUCGAAUAGUGAUAAUAUUGUUCCCGGUGUAUAUAUAUAUACAGAAUACCGCGCGGACGUAAAAGUUUAAAAGGAAUAAUAAUCGUAACAAUAAUGCUAGCGGUCCAUUGUACAGUAUAACGUUGUAUACAGUAACGUUUUUAGUAGUGUACGGCACGAAUUAUAAUAUUAUUAUUAUUAUUAUUAUUAUGUAUUUUUGUUUUUUAAGUACUAUUCGUUAUAGUACAUUAGUCUCGUCUCGCACAAUAGCGCAACGGCGGCUGCGGCGAAACCAAAGAGAUUAUGAUAAUCCCCGACCACUUCAAAAAUAUUAUCGCGUCCUCCGUGCUGCUCGCCGCCACUGCGUUUACUCGCGAAAGAUUCGGACGGCUGUUUACAAUGGAGACGGGGGUCGGACGGGCUGCUGUGAAUUAUUUAUGAUAAUAUUUCGAUCGGCCGACGACCGUCCGAAUGACGUUUGUUUGGGCGCAAACAAGGCGAAAACACGAUGGCCGGGAAACAAACAAACAAAAAAAAAAAAAAAAACCGCGAACGUGUACAACGCUUUUUUUCUCGCGAUUUAUUUUAACCGUUUUAACAUCUGGUCGGAAUAUUUAGGCAGCUCCUCCAGUAGCGCAAUACGAUUGAUGCGACGCGACUAAAAAACAAAAAAGAAAAACACCCCACGAAACCGUCGCGCGCGACGAGUUUAUCGUGUUGAUUCGUUCGUUCGGGCGAUUAAAGUCACGUCGUUAAAUAUUGUGCUUGUAUUACAUUUGACCAACGGGAUCGUCUUUUUCGGCCACGUUCACCAAAUUCGCAGACGGCCGUUGCAACUCAACUGAAUAUGGUCGGUCGCGUGCGAUUCUUAUCGCCGCAGUCUCGUCGAGUGAAUGCGAAAUGUCCAAUGUAUUUGUAUAAAUAUUAGAAAAACGGACGCAAUACUAAUCGCAAGUUUCGUCAAUCGCGUUGCGAUAAUGGUAGAGUGGCCUUGUAAUUGUUUUUCGCGACGCUGUAAGUUCGUAACGACCGUUGGGACGCGGGGCCACGUGGCUCGUAAUAAUAAUAACGAUUACCGUACGGCCGUAUUGAAAAUUAAUUUGAAAUAUAAACGAUAAACCGAUAACGAAUAUCUGUACCAGGAUUUAGCAGGAGCGCCGCCGUAGUCCUUCGUUUACAUGCCGCUCUCCCCGACCUCAUCCCUAGAAUGCACCGAACGAAAAAAAAACGUAAAUUAUCGAGAACUCGUCGAUUAAUUUCGAUAUGUUCGUGAUGUAUUUGUAUUUUAUUUUAUUAUUUCCAAUACGGGCCGCGCCCCGAAGUGCAGUUAUUGAUCAACAUAAUGAAAUACGAAAAUGCAAUUAAAGUAGAAAGACUUAGGGAGAUGAAAUAAAAACAUAGAUAAAACGUGAUAAUAAAGAGAUGCAUGGUACAGAUUAAGGACAACUUAUAAAUUAAAAGACGCAUAUUCGUUGGCAAUACGCGUCGUACUACAGAGUGGGUGGUUACGGGAAAAGUUUGUCGAACACAAAAACAUAGAGAAAGUAUAGGAAUAUCGGGACUGGGCACGAGGUAUCUUAAAGUUGACCAAUGAGAGUAAUUCAGGAUUAUCAAUCGACCCAUCAAUAAGUUUGCGAAGACCUUAUUAUGGUUAACUCGCCUAUCAGCUAAGGACUGCAAACAUAACCUACUUGAAACUAGUUCAUAAUCAUGGGGUACGUGUUCAGUUUUUUUAUAAAAAAAACUGGCAGCAAAGCUAUAUAAUUUCUGUUGUACCCUUUUAGGUUAUCACUUGCGGUGUGAGGGUCCCAAAUUACGGCAGCAAACUCCAAAAUUAACCCAACUAGUGUACAAUACAAUACUUUUAGAGGAGGUAGUAACUUAAAUUAAUUGCACAACCGUUUAAGAAGCCCAAGAGCUUUCAAAGGUUUACAGCGUGUCGCAUUAAUAUAGGCGCGAAAGUUUAAAUCGCUAUCAUAUAACACUUCAAGAUCGUUCAGCGUAUUAUUUUCUAUAAUAAGUUAGGUACCGUGUAAAAAAUAUUUAAAUUCAUAGUGAGUACGGCUUCUGUAAAAGAACUUAGUGUAAUCAUUAAGAGAUUAAAGUCUAAACCAAGAUUAGCAACCCAAGCAUCUAAUGCGUUUAGGUCACUUUGAAGUAGGUGGCAAUCAGAUUUUAUUGUAAUCAACGGGUUUGAAAUCUUUUUGAAAAUGUUUACAAACAAUUAGAUAGUUACGGUAACUACAAUAGUACUCGUAAUCGAUAUCGAGUAAAUUAAAUUAGACAUUUUUAAAAAUUAAGAUAAAUAUGGUAAAAAUUAAACAAUUAAGCUCGAUUAAUGUUAACGAGUUAACAUAAAUAUGGUGCAAUUAAAGAUCAGUAAAGAGAUUCUCAUUGGCCAUUAACAUUAAACGCCUAAUAGUCUCGUUUUACAUGUAAUUGCUCGAACAUAUAAGGGCAUACAAAUGAACAGUGGAGCGGAUUUUACGAGGGGGCGAUCUUAGAGUUGAUUGUGGAUAAUAAACCAAAUGAAUCAACUUGGCUAGACAGCAAUCCUUUUGAUAUUAAACGUUUUAUUGAGUAUUAAUUUGCGAGGUUGAACCACAAAAAAAAACUGUACACAAUGUUCAACAUUCAUUAACAAUAUUACAAAUGUAUUCGUAAACGGGAACAUUUAUCUGUGACGUAAAAACGGUGACAUUUUGUCAGCGAACUUUUCACGAGGCGAAUUCGUCAAUUAUAUUAUCAUAAUAAAUUCGUAUCGUGAAGCACGUGUACCGUGUACGUGUGUACACGGUGUGUCGGCGCGCCUAAACGUUAAACCCGAUAUAAUAAAAUUUAGGACGGUUAAGUUUUGAUUAACGAUAACACAAUGUAUAAUAGUCACGAAUCGAGAUAUUGUACGGAACGACAGCGGCGUGACAUUUUUGUCAAACUUUUCCGUGAUAUCUGUUGAAAACAAAAGUUUCUCGCUCGGUUUCUACGGUCAAAUUGGACUCCUGGCGCUCGAUAUCGAUGGCAAUCUGUUGUUUUUUUUUUUCACUAAAAAAUGAUACAAUACGCGUUAUUAUUAUGCGUGUAUCACAAAACACGUGGAAUGAUUGAACGAAUAAUUUAUCCUUUUUCAGCUCUACCGUUGCGACUUUGCGAAUUAUGUAUGAAGUUAUAUUAUAUGUUGAUACAAUGAAAAAAAUAUAGCAAUCAAAUUAUUUUUUAACAUAAUUUAUUUUACGUUUGAUUAUAUAAAGUAUAUUAACCGUUAUACACGACAUUACAAUAAAAAUCCGCAUGUAAUUUAAGUUAUUUUAUACGGGGUGUUCCCCGGCUAAUAACUCUGUUGAUAUUCAUUUUUUUUUUUUUUACAUUUUUGUUUUCAAUCGGGUUUCGUGAGAGAGGGCACAUGUGUACAGAAAAAUGUAAUUUUUAUUUUCGUCCCUUAAUCACUGAAAAUAUGCUAACUUUUCAUUUUAUCACUUUUUAAAAUUUUCAAAAUAGUUGUUUUGUAAAAGAUAUCGUUCUACGAAUUUUAAUGUACCAUAUAGUCGCGUGCGGUUAAUUGUUUUUUAGUUAUAGCGGCUUUAAUGUGUAGAAAUCAGGGGUGAAAACAAUUCGUUUUAAACGGAAUAAUACGUUACGCGAUAAGGAAUAACAAUCACUACGCCCGGUACGGUUAUUACUCGGCUUCCAUUGAAUAUCAAUUAUUAUUGUUUUCACGUCCGAUUUCUAUGCGUAAACAAUAUCGUUUAUUAAAUGGAUCUAUUUGAAAAUUAUAAAAAAUGAAAAGUAAAACGUAUUGAUUGUUUUCAUUGACACCGAGAGUGGAAAAUAAAAAAUAAUAUUUUUUUUCCGCGCGCGUAUGUCCGCAUCUCACAAAACCCGGUUGAAGAAAAAAAAAAAACGUACACAAAUAUGAACGCAUACCGAGUUAUCGGCCGACGGUUAACGCUGCGGGGACGCCCGGUAUUAUAACGUUGUCUUUAAAACGCGUUUGUGUUGGGUUUCCGAUUCUCCACCCCGACACAGUGUCGGGCGUACAACAGGGGCGGUACAUUUAUAUCCGUUUGCGUACGUUGUACGACGCGUUCGCGUCGCUAUUAUUACUCGGAAAUAAAAGGAAAAUAAAAUUUAAAAAAAAAACCCCCGUAGAUCUACGGUCGAGCGUACGACCCGAUACCGCGCGUCCCGCGGGCGCUUGUCGCGCACACGGCGUAACCGGACCGUUUGAAACCCGCACGACGUCGGGAGGGCCGUUAUCAACAACAAUAACGCGAUAGCGUGUUGUCGUCCCGUAUCUCGCGCGUCGCGACUCGCCGUAAUAACGGCACAAUCGCCGACGAACCGCCGCGCCGUGUCGCGGACAAACGCGGUGUUUUUGUUUCCCCGUUUUCGUUUAGUGCGGCCGUCGCUGUAACCGUUGGCCGCGGCCGACGGGCGAGCCUAUUCGGUCGACAUUAACCGCAGUGUGUCGGGCACGAUCGCCGCAAUGGCUCCGUGCGCGACGCGUCACGACAACGCGCUUCGGUGAAACGCUCGUCGCCCGGACCGUCGGGCGCAACCGACGCCGGAACCGUAUUGUCAUUAGGCGCGGAACAUCGUUUCGGAAACGACGGAAAUGCAAAAUCGUAAAACGCGAAAACGUCGCGAUACGCGUGCAACGACGACGGUAACGCGAACGAAUCCGUAUUCCGGAAAUGGAAAUUCGGUAGAAAAAAAAAAAAAUAAUAAUAAUAAUAAUCAAAACGCAUCCGCAAAACAGCGUUUCUAAAGUAUACGGAACAGCGACGAAUUUGUUAUGAACACCGCAAACGUCCGAACACCUCGCGAAAACGUACACGUUCUCCGUGCGCGUCCAGACGGUACUGCACUUCGAGUGUGCGGACCGUCCGCCCGCACCGACUUUUGUUUUUACCGGUCCGCGUACAAAUCGUACGGCGUGCGGAGCAUUCACGACGUUCGACACCGGGACACGGAGUUUCUCGUUUUCUAUCGCGCGUUCGCUGAAAUAUUACGUGCCCAUGAACGCGCGAACGCCGUACAUUAAUAUCGUGUGUCGGUUUAACGCCCCGGUAAUCCGUCCGGCGCGUAAACCCGAAAUCUCGCGCGACACUUUCGGCCGUCGUGUAAACGGCAAAAUAAUGCGUAUAAUAUCCGCGCGGGCGGUAACGGAAUUUACUGCGGGUCCCGGGACGAUUGCAAUAGUUCCCGCGGAACCGCAACGAUAGUAAUAUCAAUAAUAAUAAUUCGCAAUAACGUUUAAGUGCCGCGUUUUAUGCGCUUCUGUCCGUGCACCCCGUCCACACUACCCUCCACCCCACCCACCACACACACACCCUCCCGACCGUACUGGGUCGGCCCGUCAAUAAACAAGCAUUUACAUAAAUUCGAAUUGGGGGAGCGUGUACAUUGCGGGCGGGGGGGGGAUAUAUGGGAUAAAGAACAGAGCUCGAGAGAGAGAGAGAGAGAGAGACAAGGGCUUAACUCGCGGAUAACACUUAACCGAUAGAACGUAUAAUAUUGUGUUAUUAUACGUGUGCCGCCAUCGACAGUGGCGCGGAUUGGCCGGACGCGGGUUUACAGAUUCUGUGCGAGUUCGGUCCGGGCCGAAACGCAUAAUCUCAUUCGUAGCCGGUUCGCGGAGCUCAUCGGGUGUUUCGGAUAGGAGUUUCACGACGUGAUAAUGUUCCUGUCGCGGUCACAUCCCGGUGAUACUUUCCCGCGGAUGAAUCGAUAUUACAAUAGUGUCCCGAGCGCCGUCCGCUGAAAACCCGUCGUUUCCCGGUCGGCGAAACGGCCGCGGCGGGUCGCGUGUUUUUCCACAGCCACCGGUCGGGCCGAACUCGGAUAGAGUUUGUAAACACGUCGACCGGAAGGACCGGCGGACCGAAUGGCGGCGCCUCGCGUUUUUACGGCGUACCGCCGGUGAUUGUCGUAAACUUUCCGUGGCAAAAGUGCCCGCCGCACGGGGGUUUAAUUCGAUAUCCCGCACGCCCGUCGGUUGUUAUUAUAUUUUAUAAAAUAGACGACGGGGACCGUGUAGAACAACGAUAAGGCGGGACGGCAGCUCUUAUCAUUUCGGCGUCAAAAGAGCGUCGCGCGCGAUACGGUUUCGGACCAAUGACGCCCGCAUAUCUCGCUGUUGUAACGCGCCGAUAAAAAUAUAUGUCCAGCACGUAAUAAUACGAAAUUUGUGUUUACUUAAACGUUUAUCUUUUUAGUUUCAAUACGCGUUUAAAUCGUACGGCACGCGAUCUCGCGUUCUUGCAUUUACAACAAUAUACACCUGGGUAAAUGGUUUUCCUGAAAAAAAAUUAAGAAUCUAAUAUUCAAUGUUUCACAUCCGUUUUUUUGUCGAUUUGUCGACAUGAAAAUAACUGAUACCGCGACUAAAUAGCCACGCGGUAAAACACAUCCUCGAUGGAGUCGGGCGAUUGACAGUGGUUCGAUUAUCUACUGCGUUUUACGUAUUUAUUUUUUUUUUUUUUUAUCGACGACCGCGUAAUUUUAAAAGUUUACAAGGGACCAAGAACACGUUUAAAAAGCAGGACUGCCAAAGUUUAGGCUGAAUUCAUCAAAGAACGUUUCUGAAUUUAAAGAUCGAAACGUUCAUAAUAUAGGGCACAGUGGCACGUAGGGGAAUUUCGAGAGCACACGCAGUUAACAAGUACAUUUUGUAUAACUGUACUCACCGAUUUUUUUUAUAUGCAAAAAACAACGUUCUCGCUGCUCACCACCAUUAGACUCAAGAUGACAUAAGCGUUCUCUUCACAUCUAUUUUAUAAAUUAAUUAACAUAACCGUAAUAUAUGGUUGCAAAUAAUACGAUCUCCUGUUUAAAUUAAUAAUUAAUAGAUGAUGCCUCGAGAGCUCAUGCAGUUGCAGUGAUUGCUACCUGGUAACCUAUCCUAGAGCCACUGAUAGGUAAUACAAGUACAUAAUAUAUAUAUAAAACCAAUUUUUUUUUUGUACCAUAAACAUACAUUCGAAACAUUAUCCUGUUACCGUCUUGGAACGGACUCGAAAAUCCCAUACGUGUAAUAUGAAAAUAAUAAUUGAAAAUGUUAGGUUUUUUUUAAAAACAAUUUGCAUGUGACUGUUUUAAGGUCGUUGUCGGGUUACAAUUUGGGAAGGCUAAAAUAUUUAUUUUGAUACAUUUAAGGUUCUGUUUUUCCCUAAAAUUUUGCUAUUUAUUAAAUAACCAUUUUUGGGGGCGUAAAGUAGAGUACGGGGUACAGAUUGGGUUCAUAGUUUGAUUAUGAAAUAAAGAUUGAAAUGAUUUUUUAUUUUCGUACGAUGAUUUUAUUACAUCACUACGAUAACGUUAAGUAUUUAUUUUUCCGAAACUUCAACAUGUGCACCAUUAAAAUAUAAGUUUUUUCGAUCCUUAUAAUCAUACUUCUUAUAAUUACCUACCGGAAAAAAACAAUAUAUAAUAAUUGUUAAGAACUGCGCGAUAAAUUUUAUUUUAAAAUUGCAAAUUUUUUCUGGAAUCAUGUACGAAAGCCCUGGAUCGCAACGAUUGUUGGAUUUAUUAUAUACAUAGAAAACGAAACGGUAGUAUAUAUCUAUAUAUAGUUAGAAAAAAAAAACGGAGAGGAAAUGUGAAAUGAAAAAAAAAAGUAGAGAAAAAUAGCGAGAAAAGCGCGUUUCUAAUCUUCUCGUGCUAGACCUAAACGAUGACGUUGUCGCCGGGGAAGAGAAUAGUCGGGGGAGGGAUGGCAAGAGGAGAGGAGCGUGACACAAAACCCCGUGACGGUUUCGAGGACGACAAAAGAAUUAUGAACCGAGUACGUGACGGUGUAAAUGUGUGUGCGCGCGCGCGCCCCGAAUUCAGCAGCCUCCCGGAGCGUCUUUAUUUUUUAUUAAAGAGGAUUAAUAUAUAGAAAACGUGCGUUUCCAAUUUCCGAAAGAAAAAAAUAAAAACACCGUAUACAAGUUGUUAAAAACACUUGUGACAGCAUAUUAUAGCACCUAUACUCUGUAAUACGUACGUUAUAAAAAAUAAAUAAAUAAAUAAACGUAGACGAAUCUUCGUCUGCAGCGGGGGUCUUCUCCAACGUCGAUGAUCUAUAGGUAUACGCGUCACGCGUAUCAGCCGCAGGAUGACUUUUGUUUUUUUUUUUUAUAAACCAAUAAAACCCUAUACACGACUAUAAGUAUGCUCAAAAACUAACUCCGAAGUGGGUAUUUGUUACUCGAAUCGAAUUAUGUACCGAUACUCGAAAUGCGUUGUCCCAGAGCACCAAAAAAAAAUGCAAAUCAUAAAUUAAAACCAAUUGAUAAUUGUGUUAUUGGCACAGGCAAAAAAUACCUAAAAUUUAAGGUGCCUGUGUACGUUUUAUUUUUUAUUUUUACUCUAACACGUGUAUUUUGAACGAUACAUUCUACACGCCUCUUAAUCGUCGAGUGGUCCGAUUUCAAUCGAUUCACAUUGUUAUUUUUCGGAACGAACAAAUUUUCUAUAGAGUUCACUUUCAUUGGAUUCUAAAACGUUUGCUUCCGAAUGACAUAAUUAGAGUUUGAAUAAUAUGAUCGAUAUUUACUUAAUUUUUUCAAUUUCAAUAUGAUUUUGUUUUGUAGUUACACAGUAAAUAAUAAAAAACUAAUGCGCCAAUAUAGUCCAGCGUAGGACGAUUCCCGUUUUCCAACGGAAAUAAAAAAAAAUGAUCAAAGUAAAGUCGUACUUUGCGAGGCAUGAGAGUUUUUUUCUGUAUAGUAAGCAUAUACUUUGAAAAAAAACUAAUGUCGUGGGCAGGCACCUUAAUAAAAAAAAAAAUAAAAAUAAAACCGAUUCAACUAUUAUACUUAAGACAUUUCAAUUGUCGAUAAAGUUAACGAUUUGUAAAAAGGCUGCACGAGCAGGACAUUCGAGGGAAAAUAUUAUGAAUAAACGAAAUUUAUGGAGGUGUUUGAUUAUAAUUAUACAUUAUAAUUGAUAUUUCGAAUAUUAUAAUCGACUAUAAGCCAUUAAAAAUAACAAUUAAUAAAGAUAUCCGAAAAUGACGAGGCCGUGACACGGAAUUUACUUCCGCGCGCGACCGGGUUGUCGGUUCGCACUCGGUUACCGCGGUUCUCGCGGUCACCGUGGCCUGUCUCCCAUAAACCAUCACGUCGACGAGAGUUCUGAGUUCCACUCGGAAAUAAUCUCCGAUGAAUUAUUCAUCCGCGCGGAAAAUUGCUGAUUGCGGUUGCGUGUAAGACGACGACGAUGCAGGUAAUAAUCCGAUUCUCGGGGCCAUUUUAUUUCUUAUUUCUUAUUUUUUUUUUAUUUUUAUUUUUUUUUUUUUUCAUAUCGUUUUGGAAGGACAAAAUACGUGAGGAAAAUAAAAUCUCACCAGUCUAUUUAUACCGGUCUACCGCCGAUGCCGGCGGCGCGUAGUAAUUGGCAAACGGGAGUUACCCGGAGUCCUCUCACCGCCGCCAAAGUGUUAUCGAGACGCGAACCACUCGAAUACGUGUCCGGUAUCUAAAGGGGGAUUUUCGGAAUUGAAAAAAAAGUCCAAACAGUAUAACACGUAUAGGUACGUGGAAGUUUGUAUAAUAUAAUUAUUACAACGCCGCAAAUCUUGUAGUCCGUCACACCCGUAUAGACGUAAAAAAACAACUUUAGACAGUAGUGUCCGCUCGAGAGAGUCCUGUGUGGCAGAGGCAUCGUUUGAGGAAUUCAUACUUUAAUCUUUAAGCCAUAUAUAUUUUAUUAUUAUUAUUAUUAUUUUUUUUUUAAUGCGUUUUUGGUCGGCAUAAAACGUUAUUGUCGAGCCGCCGUCGAUGAAAUGUUAAAGGCAAUCCGAACUAAUGCCAAUGACCGUCUCUACCGGGGACCGAUUGUCUAAAAAGGUAACAGUGAGACACGGGCGAUUGUUACCACGGUUAAUAUUUUUGCCACGGCUAAACGAACGGGCAUAAUGUCAGCAAGAUUACAGUGCACGCCGAAACUGACAUCACGCGGAGUAAAUCACGGUGUUAUGACUUAUUUAAUUUCCUCGGAACUGUGGCCGUGGCUUAGAAUUAAUGUUAUUGGAAUGCCGAAACACAUGGUAGUAUUUGAAUUGUCAAGUGGUAAUGUCGAAACGAGCCUAAAAUUUUUCAGACAUCGACCCGAUUAAAAUGUUCGCAUCUCUAUAGAAAAACUAAAAUAACGUUCCUGAUAAGAGUAAUAAAGUCAGUAACCAUCAUAAAUAUACUGACUGGAAAAUGUGUCCACUUGGCUGGUAAUCUUUGGGUUUACUCGUAUAAUAGAGUCGACUAUCCAAUUAAGUAUACCGAGUAUACUUGUAUUAUCUGUAUUAUGAAAUAAUUAUUGCAGUUUCCCGCGUGUAAGUAUUUGUAUUGGAAACAUCGCGCAUCCAUUCACCGAGUGAUAAACUUUAAACCAAACAGUAAACAUAUUUUAAUUAACGAGGAGGACUUUAGUGGAGGCCUGCCGAAUCCGGCGACAUCUGUACAGAUCCGUUCGAAUUACGCGUCAAAAACUAUAUCAACAUAGCACGGGCCGAUAUAACCAACGAGUAUAAUAUUGUGCCUUAGUCGGACCAUUGCACCAUGCUGUGGGUGGAAAAAAAUUGUAUUAUAAUGAACACAAGUUCAUAAGUCGUGAACGAUUCAAAAUUAAAACGACUUUGGCCGGAAAACUAUUUGUAGUUUCCCAUGGGUGAAACGAUCGUUAAAUAUUGAAUUCGAUUUAAAGCCAAAAGGCGUUACACUCGUCACGUCGUCUCGAGACAUUCUGGCGUGUCGUCAAAUCGUAUACCCAUGUCUUUAAUUUUUCUAAUUGAAAGUAUUAUAGCGAAUUGCAUGUGGGCAGCAGACCGCUGAACCACUAAAAUCCUACGUACGUAGCAUACUAAAUGAGUGCCAAACAUGUUUUCUAUCGAAACAAUAUUAUUUCUUAUUGGUGUUUUUCUUCGAGAUUUAAAAUAGCUGUUAAGACCGCUCACGGACGCGCGUCGGCGACAACCAGACGAAAUUCACCGAAUUGUAUUCUCGACUUUUUUUUAAUAAAAUAUAGUAUCCGUCGCGAUUCUAACAAAAUAAUAUUGUCUCCGAAACCUCGAUCGUCGGACAAAUGGAUUAAAGUUACGACCGAUGAUGUUUACAACGGCGCAACGGUGCGGCCAGAAAAUAACCGGCCGAUAAUGUGUAUUGUUAUUAAUUAUCCGGAGUAAUAUCGAAAUGUGUCCUUUCUGGUUGUGUUGUGACGGAAAAUGUAUUCGAUAAGAAUUGAUUAAUUGUUCUUGUCUUCGAAUAACGAAGAGAUUUUGACGAAAUGCUGCGAGACGAAGAACACUGAUACCAUGUCAUAUCGGACGGUUAUCGCUCAAAUCUUAUCGAAAAUCAUCUGACACGCGCGCCCGUAAGAAACGGGGGAACCAUCCUGUCUCAUUGCCUCGCGUGCUUGUCUCGCCCCGGUUUUGCCUUUACUAAAUAAAUGUUAAACCGUUAAGCAGAAGAAGACAAAAAAAAAAAAAAAAAACAGCGAAUAUUUCGUAAUUAUUAUAACGAGUAAAACGAAUAUCGCCAACGUCGGAAAACCGGGAAAAAUGAUAAUUUUCCGCCGUAUUUGCACGUUUUCCGUGCGUUAUUCUUAUAUUUUAUGUUUCGUCGAUUUUCUUUUUCCCCUACUAAAACCCAUCUUACGAAAGACGAAUAUCGUCCGAUCGAAAGAGAUACUGUUUCGUAUAUUAAAAACGUUCGUUUAUGUUGUUUUUUUUUUUUUUUCCCCUCCGAACCAUAUUGAUGCUCCAAUUUACCGUCUUAAUUCGGUUCGUUCCGCCGUGUGGAAACCAACGUGAUAUUAUAUAAAUGUAAUGGAACAAUAAUAUCGUGGUCUCCGUUUCUCUCGAAUCUCUCUGUCCCGUUCGGUUCAUAAUCUAAUCUACCGGGUCCGCCGAUUUACCGCGCGGGUUUAAUGUUUUUGGACGUGCUCAAUGAGGUACCGUGGCCUUUAACAAUAUUACUUUUUCGAUAUCUGUGCCCGGAAACGGUUAAUCAAUAUUAUUCAAUAUAUAGUUAUGGGUAUCCAUACCGACACUGUAUAAUAAUUGUCGAAAUGUGCACCGGAAUCGCGUUUGCGGCGGAGAACCACGCGGCCGUUACUGGUUCUAAACAACACCGAGUACCGGUCGCGUAUUUGUAGGUAUUUCGUGGACGGGGAAAUUUUUGUUUUGAAAAUUACAGAAGCUCCGGUAUUAAAUAAUAAAUAAAAAAAAAAUUAAGUGUAAUUUUUAAUUUAAUUAUCCGUGCGUUCGAAGAGUUAUUUUUUUUUUCUUUUGUUUUUACAAAUCACCCUCCCGGAUAGCAUAUCCAUAAUGAUUAUAUUAAAUAUUAAUAUCAAAUUUUCAUAAAAAAAAAAAAAAAUGAUAUUAUUAAAUAAAUAUCGAUAGUAUAGCAAAUUUUACAUUAGCAAUACAUUUUUUACGUCGGAACCUAGCGAUUUACUACUAUCCGGUACGCCCGCAGCUGCACAAACACUCUAUACGAUAAUAGAGAUAUUAGCGUAUUUCUAGUAGUGACCUGUUACUAACGAUCGAUUGAUUACGCACAUCCGAAAUCGCCAAACCGGAAAAAUUGUUUGAUUCAAACGAAUAUUAUUACGAUUAAAAGUACGCCAAGGGGCCACAACGGGUCGACCGAGAUUUACUUAUAAUCACCGUGCAUAAAAUAACAUGCGCCGAAAAAAAUACAAUUCGUAUAGUGUGUGUGGUUGGCAGUUUAAUUAAAUUUUUAAUUAUUACUGUAUUUGGUAAUUACCAUAUACUACGGUACUAUAAAGUACCGUAGCCAAUUUUUUUUUUUUUUUUUUUAGGGGUAGUACUUAUCAUUUUUAUAUAAGUUACCAUAUUUUUAGAACGAUAAAAUACACCGAAAUAACCAAAAAAAAAGUGGGGCACGCCCCCUACUUCCACCACCCACCCCCUGACACCAGAGAAGGUUAAAUUUCCUGUUUCCAAAAAAUCCGCAAUUUCGAGUUGUCACCGUAUAGAUAGCUAUCGUUAUAAUAUUUCGAAAUUUACUUCUAUGACUAUAUGAGUAAAACCAACUUCUUAAUAAUUAAGUAGGUAGUCUAGUGGAUAGAGCGUUAGGUUUAAUUAGGCAGUGUCUCUCAUUUCGGCUUUUUUUUCACAUUAAAAUAAAAAAAUGUGUGAAUAAUAUAAUUUUUAAAACAUUUAAUAAACGAAAACCCCGUGGCCAUCCGUUAUAUUAUAAAUAUCUUCUAAAUAUUAUUUAAAUGAAAAAUAUGGAAAAAUAAACCAUUCCAUUAUAAAAAUAAUGUUUUAUAAAUCUUAAUAAAAUAUACGUUUGCUAUCUAGGAGCUUUAAUAACCUAACCGGUAUUGUUCUCCAUUCAACAAUGUGGAAAAUCCGGUCACAGGCGGUAGCGGGAACAUCUGUAAAUCGGAUUUUUAAAUUUAAAUUUCCGUAUCGUACGCGUUUAUCCUCAUCUCACGCUUGGACAAAUUAGUUUUUUCCGGGUCUCUUCGGUUGUGCCAAGUGGGAGAAAAACCGACUUGAUUAAAUUAAAUCGAUUAGUUUAGCGAUCCGCGUUGUGAAUAAUUACGUCCGGUUUUUUACCGUUCCGUUUAUAGUAGAGUAUAAUAGAGUUCGACCCAAUCAAACGGUCACAACUCAUCCGUCUGUCCGUCGGCACCCGGGGCUUCAGAUUGCGGCCCGCUCUAGCAUUUUGAACGGCGCGCGGCUGGAAACUAAUACAAAUUCGUAACGGCCAAUUAAACCGAAAAAUGCUAUAAACGGCCAUAGUAUUAUACAGUAGGGACAAAAAUGUCGCGAGUGAUCGACGAACGCCGUGGACCGCGAUUUCCGGACACCGAUGUAUAAUUUUGUUCCGCCCACGCGAAAAAGAUUUGGCGAGCCGAGGCGAUUUUCAAUCGCGAUCGCCGUCGCCUACCGCGCCCGACGCAACGAUGUUAUAGUUUUUCCGCGCGAGUUCAACUCGUAUUACUUGACCGGUGUUGUUAUUUUGUUUUUGCAUUUGUUCGGCUUUCGGCUGAUCUUCAAAAAUAAUUCAAUAGGGGAGCGCGUUAAACAAAAAAAAAAAAAAAAAAUAAUAAUAAUAAUAAUAAUAGCAAAAUACCGUGUCAAUCGCGGCAAAUAAUAAUAGUAGUAGUAAUAACAACGAUAAUAAAGGGUAUGGUAUUCGUUUUGUAAAGAAUAACGACCGACGACACGACGGGGUCGACGGGUCUAUUUUAGACGAAAAAAAAAAAAAAAUACUAUAUUAUUAUCAAGUAGAUACAUGGGGUAAACGGGGGGCGGUUGGUGCUCCUUGAACUCCGCUGACCUACUGCUGGACGAUCAAAUUAGAUUAAUUUUAUAUAUUUCACCCCGACCAACCUCCCACGCCGCCACACGACCCGCGCCCCGCGCCGCGACGCGCAACGGAAAAGAAAAUAACGGGUGGAACAGAUAGAAGGAAAUAAAAAAAACAAACACGAAACGCCAAUGUAAAAAUAUUCGUUUGAACAAGUAUUAUUAUUGGCGUUUGAAACAGUUCCACUACGCCCGUCGAUCCAACGAGUGAACGGGCCGGGCAAACGUGCAGUGGGAAAAACUUCGGCGUCUUAAAACGGGACAUUGUGUGCAACAAGGCUGGGGCAUUAACGAGUUGAUAAGUUGAGGCCGAGUUGAUUUCACUAUUUAACGUGACGAAUUCAUUUUUUCCGAACCGCUAACUUUUGCUGUUUACUUGAGAAAUACGAAACGCAAAACUUUUAAUUAACCGGAGAGUUGAUUUUAUAUUCAAACAAGUCGAGUUGAUUUCAAUUUUUGUUCUAACGCUCGUAUAAAUAAAUAUACCGCGAACAUUUCAGAAUACGGACGCGUCACGAUUGCCGGUUAUUUUCCUAAUGCGGUCGGCGGUCGUUGGUAGACUGGGCAGGCCAUUAUAGUAGGUGUAAAAGACAAUAAUACGCGGAUUUUUUUUUUUCAAUUAACUCGCAUCAUCGAAUUAACAGGUUAAUUUCAACUCACGGUUGACUCCUGAACUCGGCCGACGGACCGGCGGGUCAUUUCGCAUUAGCUUUGUUUGAAAAAUACAAACAAACGGAGUUUCAGAUUUAACUCGGCAGAGUUGAAAAAAAAAAAAAAAAAAAAACCCCGUUCUCCGGACGUGUAUAACGCGCACGUCGUGCGUUGCGCGCGGACAGCGACGGUACUCGCCGGUUACGCGGGACCGAACGUUCCGCGAAAACGGUUUUUUUUUUUUUUUUUUUUUUUAUCGACGGAACAACGCGGAACCGAGCCGUCGAAAUAACGACGCGCGGCGGACGGAACCGUUUUGUCCGGGCUGUCGGGGAUCGCGGCGCGUACGGUUGUGUUACACGCCCGGACGGUACGCUCGAUCGCUGAACCCCGCGGCGUUUCGCGGAAGGUAAAACGACGGACUUUCCCCCCCCCCCCCCCCCCCCNNNNNNNNNNNNNNNNNNNNNNNNNNNNNNNNNNNNNNUUUUUUUUUUUUUUUUUUUUUUAUUAGGUCAACGGGCAUUGUAAUGGGUACGCCGCACGACGGUUUAUUGUAAUGAUACAACGUUGUUUCAAACGGAUUUAUUUUCGCGUAUGAUUCGAGUUUGUAGUUUUUUAUUUUUUUUUCCCCCCGACCGUUUUUUCCCGUUACGAUAAAUAAAUACACACGGGUACAUAUUAUGUAUCGGUAUGACACUUUUUACAACCUCUUUAAUUUAUUAUUGCGCUGGAAACGGGAGAAAAAAAAACAAGUUGCUACCUAUACGCGUAUUGUAUGCGCAUAUUAUAUAAUCGUAAUAAUAAAACAUUACACGUAUAUCGCAAAUUAUUAUUCAAUUGACCGGAGGUAAAAAAAAAAAAAAAACAAAAAUACAAAUACAAAUAUACAAACUACCUAUAAUUCAAAUGUGCGGGUAUCUCUAUAUGUUUUUUUUUUUUUUUUUUUUUUUUUUUUUUUAUUNGACGGUACGCUCGAUCGCUGAACCCCGCGGCGUUUCGCGGAAGGUAAAACGACGGACUUUCCCCCCCCCCUCCCUCCACCUUCAUCGUAAAUCGGUACCCGUUGUUCUGUACGUCGUCCUGAUGCCUUUUCGCGUAGAACGCACCGCGAAUAAGGAACGGUCAGAGCUCGGUUUUUUUUUUUUUUUUUUUUUAUUAAUGGUUUAUUAUUUUUUCGUUUUUUUUUUUCGCAGGUAUGUAUUUUCAAUAACGGGACCGUAAUUUUACUUUAUACACUACUCGGUCCGAAACAAACGGACGGCCAUCAAGUAACUCAGGAGGCACAAUAGGUAACGUAUCCGCCCACGAUACUGAUAAUAUCGUAAUCGUACGACUAAAAUAUAACAGAUGGAAAAACGAAAAAAAAAAAGAGAAAGUCCAG